CAACUUUAACUGGAAUGGGCACAGAAUAUGUCAACACGAUAGGUUAUAAACCUCAAGUCGUGUGCUAGUGAAGAACUUUAGGUUUUAUUCUUGAUUAGUUCUUGAGACUUUCAAGACCUUUAAGACUCCCACUGUCCUCUUGACAUAUAAGACUCCCUUGUCAAACAUCCAAGAGAUAGUGCGGAUUCUAAUCAAGACAAACACUUCACACAAUUGGCCUAAGUUGGUCUUUGUUUUAUCCAAAACAUCACAACCUACCAAUUUCAAAUGUACGAGAGUAGAAAUCUUUUACUCUUACAUUUAACAAGUGUUUUAAACCUUCUUUAAGACAUGUCACUCAAGUUACAAUCUUGGAGUAUGACUCUAAGACUUGUUUUGGAACGAAGUAUGACUCAUCUUCUUGAUUUAACCAUUUCAACAAUUCAAGUUCCUCUUCUUAGUCAUAAGAAUGCACUAAGAUUUCCUUAGAGAACUAAUUUUGAUAUGGUUUCUUAAUCAUUAAGAUGAUCACAAAACUGAUACUAAAGUACUCUCCCAUCUUUUCAGAUUUGAGAAACUUUUAUCCUUCUGCCUAAUUUGAUUCUUCUUAUUCGCCCUGCCAUACAUUGGAACCUUUUCCAAUGUCUCAGAGUUACACUUAAGCUUGUAAGUAUAAUCAUAUUUACUGAGCUUUAGUAAACUAUGACGAAUAGUCUUAUCAAUCUUUUGUGGUGGACUUAAUCAGUGCACAAGAAUGUGUACUCGAUCCCUUAGUCCUUUACUUGACUCACACAUCCAUGUGGCCGAGUAAUUAGUCUUAAUUUUCCAAAACUUGAAAGUUCUCAUUCAUCAUGCUAUACAACUUGCAUGAUUCCAAGUUCCGGUCCAAUUGAAACUUGGGUGAUGAGAAUCUUUCCUUAUUUGGUAAAUCUAGACAUUACCACAAAUGAAAGAAUCAAUUUCAUAUUUCCACUCUUGCUAUUAAUGGAAUCAUAUAAGCAACAAUUUUUCCUCAAAUGCCAUUGUAAGGAUAUUUUAAAAUAAAUAAAAUCAAAAAUUUUCUUUUAUUUUAAAACUUUGCGGAAAAACUUAUCCUUACAAUCCAUAUGAAAACUUGUUGUUAUCUAUUCCUAAGCAAUAUCUCAUAACUCCUAAGAAGUUGCUCAAGAAUCCGAUCUUCAAACUAUGCGAUAGAAAUCCAUCUACGCCAUCAGAUUCAGCAUAUUCUUUCUUUAAGUUUCUUCACUUUUCUUUGAUUCUUAAAACAUCACCAUGUGACCCAGUCACAUCAUGUAUCAGGAAUCUCAGAAUAGAAACUUAACAGAGUUAGAUAGUGGUCUUUACCUGAAGUAGAGUCAAACUUAUUGACUUUAACAUCCUUAGGUAAAUUUGGCAGCUUCGCAACCAAUGCCCCUUCCCUUGGCAAUAUAAACAUAUGGACCCUUUGAUAAUGGUACACGAGACUAUCACAGACUUAGCUUUUCUCUUUACCAUUUGGUCAACCGAGUUGACUAUGGCCGAUCCCUUUCCAUUGGGAAGAGAAUGCUUUACUGGAUAUCCAAUGUCAUCAUUGUCAAUGUCCAUAAAGUUUUAGGAAGUUGAUCUUAGCAAAUAGAUAAGAUCAUUAAGGGUCUUGUCAUAGUCUGUUUCAUAGGUGUCCCAAAGGAACUCACUAUGUGACUUAGAAAGUGAUUGAACCACCAACUUUCUCAAGACUUUGACACCCAACUCUCCCGGCUUGUCAAUAUGUGACUACAUCUCCAAGAUGUGAUCACACCUAGACCUUGCCUUGCCAAUAGGGCUUGAGUGACCUUAAACUUUUCAAGAACUUGUGGGUUAGGGAGAAUAAUUGGAGGAGGUGAAAGAAGUAUGAUUUCCAAAGGACAUCAUCUUCAUUUAGGAAACCUUGUUUCACUAGAUUUGGGAAGAUCAUAGGUGUCUAUUACAGACAUCUUUUGGGAGAUAUUCAAGAUAGUUGAUUUAAAGUCCUUAAUAUGACACCCAAUAUGAAAUAUUAAGGCUAGGACCCAACAAACUAUUUUAUAACUUAGAAGAGGUAUGCCGUAAUCCAAGCUAUAAAAUAUUUGAAGGUAGGUGAAUGACGAUUCACCAAUUUCCACCAAGAUAAACGAAAUGUAUUAUUAGGUUUUAAUUGGUUUUGAAACUCCUAGAUCUUUGAGAUUCAUUGAACUGUUCAAAGGCAUGUUUCAAUCUCGAGUGUGCCCUUCAGGUUUUGUGACUGGGAUGCCGAGGAUCACAAAACAAGGUGUGAAGUAACCAUGCAAAUCACUUGGUACCCUUAAUAAAUUACCCCUCAAUCGAUGUGCCGGUUAACCACACACGCUCCAUCGAUACUAUGAUAAAUAUUAAGUCACCCUUUACCUACCUUGUUAAGUCCAAGUUAGUGUGCCGGUUAACCACACACGCUCCACUAACGACUUAGACAAAGUGUAAAGUGUAAUUUCAUGGAUUAGCACCUUAUUCACAUUUUUCCUAAGUAACUAAGAUUGGGUAUUAUUAAGAGUUUAGUUACUUAGUAUUAUCAUUAAUACUUUUAAUGAAGGGAGAAUUCUAGUCCUGUCAAACCCGUUCGGCUAACGACCCUCCACCAGUCAAGCAAGCGGUGGGUGAGAGUGGACACCCAUUAAGUUGCCAUUUUAUAGGCAACAACCUUAUACCCACCUUAUAGACCGGCUUCGUGAAUGAGGCGUACUAGCGGUAAGACUGACUUUACUCUUAUACAUAUAUAUAUUAUUAACUUAUAAUAUUAUAAAGUAUAAGGGUUGAAUUUUAACUUUUAAAAUUCUAAGGGCUAACUUGGAAUUAAAGUAUUCAUAAGUGAAAACUUUACAAAUUCCAAAACUUGAGGGCAAGUUUUGAAACUAUUCAAAACUAAUUAAUUCCAUAACUUAUGUGUUUAAAGUAGUUUUAAUCCAAAAACUCUUCAAGUUCCAUAACUUGAGGACAAGUUAUGGAAGACUUUAAACUAAUAAAAGAAUUAACUUUUCUUUAUUUUAUAACUUAUGGAAUUAAUUAAGGUUACACUUUUUUUUUUUUUAUUUUAUUUUAUUAAAUGAAGAGACUCUUGGUCCUCCAUAACUUGAGGACAAGUUAUGGAGUCAUAAAACCAUUUAAUUAGAACUAGACUCUUCAUUUUUGUAACCUUUGCCAAUUUUUAUGAGUUUUAUGAUUCUUAAAUGUGACUUUUCAUAUAACUUGAGGACAAGUUACAAAAACACAUUUUAGAAUCAAUUCUUAGAUUAAUUUGGAUUAAAACCAACUAUCACAUAAUUUUAUUCAUUAAUCUAAAUUCACUCAUAAAACAAGGUAACACAAAAAACUUUUGGUGAUCCAUAACUUAUUCUUAAGUUAUGGAAUCCUUUAAAACAUUAACACCAAAUUUUGUAACUCCAAAAAAACUUUGAAUCAAUUUUUUUUUUAAAACCUUUUCAUAUCCAUAACUUAUGGAGGUUUCAAAAAAUAAAACUCUUUAGAUCAAACUUUUAAAACUAAUAAAAUAAUCAUAUUAUUUUAUCUUUUAUUAAAUUUGACCUAAUUCAACUCAUAAAGCAAAUUAUUCAAAUUUUACAAAUAAUUAGUUUUUCACAAGAACAAGUAAUUAUCUUAAAAUUUGACAAACUUCAUGUUUUUUUUUUUUUUUUUUUUCAACUUUGAAAAUAAAAUAUUUGCAUCAAUAUAACAGAAAACAACCCGUGGCUCUGAUACCACUGUUGGGUUUUGAGCAUUCUAACACUUCCUAAGUGUACAUGCAACCCUAAAUACCUUGGAUCUAUGUUUUCUCUAUUAUACAUGCAAAUAAGAACUUCCAAGGUAUUAUCCUAAUCUAGCAUACAAAACAAUAACUUAACAAGAUAGAAUACAUACCUCUUGAUGUAGAAAGUCUUCAUGAAGCUUGAGUGCCUAGCCCCAAUAGUGUGGAAGCCUCAAAUGGAAUCACAAUCACCAAAACACUUAGAAUAACUUGAGAGAAUUCUACAACUCAUGAAAUCGGCUAGCCCUUUUACUUCACACACUAGUGGCCGAUUUUGGUCAAGAAUAAGAUGCUUAUAUAGUUAGGGUUACACCAUGUAAGCCUUAAUUGACAUGGCCUUUCAUUUCCAUGAUCCAUGGGUACAAAUACACCAUGGAGCAUCCAUGGACCAUCCUAUGGGGUUUAGCCCAACUUGAUUAUCCAUGGAGCAUUAGCCCACUAUACAAGUAUGGAUGAUUUACACAAUCAACCCAUAUAUUUAAUUAGUCUUCUUUUGAUCACUUAAUUAAUCCUAGAUUAAUUCUUGAUCAAUACUAAUUAAAUAAUCUUAUUAUUCUUAUUAUUAAUAUACUAGAACUUAUAAUAUAUUAAUAACCAUAAGUUUCUUAUUUCUCUCAUUAAAGUCUAUCCAAGUGCAUGAUGCCAUGCAACCCAAAUGGACCAUGUUGGGUCGGGUCAAGUCUUACCAAUUUUAGUUAUGGACUUAGACAUUAAUCCAACAAAAUCCCUUACUCUACGCGCGGAGUAUUGCCCUCGGGGUGAAAUCCAGAAGCUGGAAUACGAGCUAUGGAACCUGAAGAUGAAAGGUUCUGAUAUCGCCUCUUACACUUCAAGGUUUGAUGACCUGGCACUCCUUUGUCCGGGAAUGGUUAGCCCGGAAAGCAAAAAGGUAGAAAGGUUCAUUUGGGGAUUAACCCAACCAACAAAAGGGAACGUUAUACCAGUAAAGCCAGAUACCUAUGACAGCGCCAAAUGUCUAGCACAAACCCUGAAGAAGCAGAUGCCACUCCCAAGCCAACAGAAAAGAGUGGCGAGAAAAGAAUGUUUUGGAAAAAGAAGAAGAAGAGUCAGUCUUCCCGAGAACUCUCAAAGAAACAGCAAAUGGUGGCAGUCCACGCUGUCUCUAUCCCUGCAGCUGUUUCUGUUGUCAAUUCCACAUCUCAAGCACCUGUCACCGGAUAUGUCGGUAUCCUCUCAUGGUGUAACCGUUGCAGCUACCACCAUCGCAUCCCUGGCCCUUGUCGUGCAAAGAUUNGCCCUUUACUUGGAGUUUACGGCCCAAGAGGUUGUUCCUUGGCCGUAAACUCCUCAAACUACUUGCUUUUGAUUUGUUUCUAGCCUCUAAUGAUCAUACACUAAGUCCUUAGUUAGAUGCCUAACACGGAAAUGGGACUAGGUGGCCUUUAGGCUUGAUUUUGGAGUUUACUCCCCAAGAACGUUCUUGGGCGGUAAACUCCCGGAUCUUGUGUUUUGGACAUGUAAACAAUGUUAUAAAGCAUAUAACAAGUAUUAAAACACAUUUAGGGAAGUAGACUCACAAUCUGGGAUGAAAACCCGAAGAUCCGUGAGAGAGUAUUUGGCUUUUCUCUAAAUGGAAAUCAAAUAAUGAACCAAUUUGGUUCAGAAUUCUAUUUAUAGUCCAGAGAUUUUUGGCAGAAAAUAUUUCUAUUCUCGGAAUGGAUUCUAAUGACCUAGAGUAAUGGAAUUACAGUGUUGCACAAAAUCCUAGUGCACCCACUCUCCUAAUAACUCCUUAGGUGUAAAACCCUAAAACUGCCAAACUUAUUCCAAAAGUUUGAAUUUUCACUGAAACUGCUCUACUUCCAUUGGAUUGAUGUGGUUUGAUUUGAAUGGAAAAUUUCGGGUUGUCACAGUUAAGGGGUAUGAACUCACCUGCAGUAUGUGACUGGAAUUGAACGGGCUGUUAUCGUACGGAAGGAUCAGACAAGUGCUUGGUGUCAAGUGAAGACUUAGACACACACAAUGAUCCUAAUUACAUAUGAAACAUAUGUAUAUAAAUAAUUAGUGAUUAUAACACUAAUUAUACAAGUAAUAACAUUUAAGCGCGAGGACAACACUUUUGGUCAAGUGCUAGGAGGCUAAUGGGUUGCAACAAAGAAGUGCAAUGCCCCUAAUGAAAGUUUAAGGUCAAAAGACCAUAUUCAUUAGAGUUUACGGCCCAGGGGAGUAAGCUCCUGGCCGUAAACUCUCAAACAAGUCAUGAAAUGGAGUUUAAAAGUACUACAACCUUAGAGGGGAAUUGUUUCAAGGCUAUACAAGUGUUUGGGCACCACAUUGACUCCUUUGGGGAGUUUACGGCCCAAAGACCCUUCUCCCUUGGAGUUUACGGCCGUAAACUCCCUUGGGAGGGUUCUUAUUGUCCUUUCAAGUCUCUAACAUUUCUAGGAACAAGUCUAGGCUUCAAUACUUGGAUCAAGGGAGGUUUAUGGCAUUAAAUGGAACCAUUUGAUGGAGUUUACGGCCAUAGAACUCUUUGGGCCGUAAACUCCCUCACACAUGAGGUUCUAAGAAUUUUAACUAGCCCAAAACUCAUCUAGGUACUUGCCCUAAAAGUCUCUUGGCCUAAGGAAGUGUCUAGGGUGUCCUUUGACCCCUUUAAAGGAGUUUACGGCCCAAGAAAUACUCUUGGCCGUAAACUCUUCAACACUUGAGCUUUUCAUGAUUUUUCUAGGUCCUAAACACAUUAAGGUACUAGCCAAAAAUGAAGACUAAGCCUUAGGAAGAGUUUGAAGUGGUUUUGGCACUUAAUCUUGGAGUUUACGGCCUAAGGAGCAUCUUGGCCGUAAACUCCCUUCCAAAGUUGGUUUCUAAUUGUUUUGUGGGUCUAAAUCAUGAGUUUAAGGCUUCUAGGUUCUUGUUCUAAGGCUAAAGGAACACUAGGCACUCAUUUGUGCCCUUUACUUGGAGUUUACGGCCCAAGAGGUUGUUCCUUGGCCGUAAACUCCUCAAACUACUUGCUUUUGAUUUGUUUCUAGCCUCUAAUGAUCAUACACUAAGUCCUUAGUUAGAUGCCUAACACGGAAAUGGGACUAGGUGGCCUUUAGGCUUGAUUUUGGAGUUUACUCCCCAAGAACGUUCUUGGGCGGUAAACUCCCGGAUCUUGUGUUUUGGACAUGUAAACAAUGUUAUAAAGCAUAUAACAAGUAUUAAAACACAUUUAGGGAAGUAGACUCACAAUCUGGGAUGAAAACCCGAAGAUCCGUGAGAGAGUAUUUGGCUUUUCUCUAAAUGGAAAUCAAAUAAUGAACCAAUUUGGUUCAGAAUUCUAUUUAUAGUCCAGAGAUUUUUGGCAGAAAAUAUUUCUAUUCUCGGAAUGGAUUCUAAUGACCUAGAGUAAUGGAAUUACAGUGUUGCACAAAAUCCUAGUGCACCCACUCUCCUAAUAACUCCUUAGGUGUAAAACCCUAAAACUGCCAAACUUAUUCCAAAAGUUUGAAUUUUCACUGAAACUGCUCUACUUCCAUUGGAUUGAUGUGGUUUGAUUUGAAUGGAAAAUUUCGGGUUGUCACAGUUAAGGGGUAUGAACUCACCUGCAGUAUGUGACUGGAAUUGAACGGGCUGUUAUCGUACGGAAGGAUCAGACAAGUGCUUGGUGUCAAGUGAAGACUUAGACACACACAAUGAUCCUAAUUACAUAUGAAACAUAUGUAUAUAAAUAAUUAGUGAUUAUAACACUAAUUAUACAAGUAAUAACAUUUAAGCGCGAGGACAACACUUUUGGUCAAGUGCUAGGAGGCUAAUGGGUUGCAACAAAGAAGUGCAAUGCCCCUAAUGAAAGUUUAAGGUCAAAAGACCAUAUUCAUUAGAGUUUACGGCCCAGGGGAGUAAGCUCCUGGCCGUAAACUCUCAAACAAGUCAUGAAAUGGAGUUUAAAAGUACUACAACCUUAGAGGGGAAUUGUUUCAAGGCUAUACAAGUGUUUGGGCACCACAUUGACUCCUUUGGGGAGUUUACGGCCCAAAGACCCUUCUCCCUUGGAGUUUACGGCCGUAAACUCCCUUGGGAGGGUUCUUAUUGUCCUUUCAAGUCUCUAACAUUUCUAGGAACAAGUCUAGGCUUCAAUACUUGGAUCAAGGGAGGUUUAUGGCAUUAAAUGGAACCAUUUGAUGGAGUUUACGGCCAUAGAACUCUUUGGGCCGUAAACUCCCUCACACAUGAGGUUCUAAGAAUUUUAACUAGCCCAAAACUCAUCUAGGUACUUGCCCUAAAAGUCUCUUGGCCUAAGGAAGUGUCUAGGGUGUCCUUUGACCCCUUUAAAGGAGUUUACGGCCCAAGAAAUACUCUUGGCCGUAAACUCUUCAACACUUGAGCUUUUCAUGAUUUUUCUAGGUCCUAAACACAUUAAGGUACUAGCCAAAAAUGAAGACUAAGCCUUAGGAAGAGUUUGAAGUGGUUUUGGCACUUAAUCUUGGAGUUUACGGCCUAAGGAGCAUCUUGGCCGUAAACUCCCUUCCAAUGUUGGUUUCUAAUUGUUUUGUGGGUCUAAAUCAUGAGUUUAAGGCUUCUAGGUUCUUGUUCUAAGGCUAAAGGAACACUAGGCACUCAUUUGUGCCCUUUACUUGGAGUUUACGGCCCAAGAGGUUGUUCCUUGGCCGUAAACUCCUCAAACUACUUGCUUUUGAUUUGUUUCUAGCCUCUAAUGAUCAUACACUAAGUCCUUAGUUAGAUGCCUAACACGGAAAUGUGACUAGGUGGCCUUUAGGCUUGAUUUUGGAGUUUACUCCCCAAGAACGUUCUUGGGCAGUAAACUCCCGGAUCUUGUGUUUUGGACAUAUAAACAAUGUUAUAAAGCAUAUAACAAGUAUUAAAACACAUUUAGGGAAGUAGACUCACAAUCUGGGAUGAAAACCCGAAGAUCCGUGAGAGAGUAUUUGGCUUUUCUCUAAAUGGAAAUCAAAUAAUGAACCAAUUUGGUUCAGAAUUCUAUUUAUAGUCCUUAUAUUUUUGGCAGAAAAUAUUUCUAUUCUCGGAAUGGAUUCUAAUGACCUAGAGUAAUGGAUUUACAAUGUUGCACAAAAUCCUAGUGCAACCACUCUCCUAAUAACUCCUUAGGUGUAAAACCCUAAAACUGCCAAACUUAUUCCCAAAGUUUGAAUUUUCACUGAAACUGCUCUACUUCUAUUGGAUUGAUGUGGUUUGAUUUGAAUGGAAAAUUUCGGGUUGUCACAUCAUCCCCCUGUUAAAGGGAAUUUCGUCCCGAAAUUAGAAUUUAGGCAAGGAAGUAUGCACGAAUGAUCGAGACGUGAGGAGGAAACUUCCUAAUCGAUUGGUUCUAGCGCACUUAAGUGAAAUCGGGCUCUCGGUGGGUAUCCCAACGAACCUUCACUAAUUGGCGACGGCGUUGCUUCGUCCACUUGAUCUCUCGGUCGAGGGUCACUACGUUUCUGAUUCGGAGGCAAGGAUCUCGACGAAUGGACUUGUAAGAGUCCUAACGGGAAGGUAUGCUUUCGCGAUCGAGAUGCGAAGAGUAGAAAGUACGAUACUGAGUUCGCGGAGUAGGUCUAGUUUGUGCGAGGCACAGGACAGAUUCUGAUAANAUCUCGGAGGUCCUGUCUAACUUGGAUUUAGCUUUUCACGCUUUACGAAGCGUAUAAAGCCAUUCCCCAAGUGAGUUAUCCUAAAGAACUUGGUCACUCACUUGGAAUUCUCAAAGGUUCCUUUUCUUGCGUAGCUUCCCAGUCCAAGGCCACCCCUUGCUGGGUCGAAGUCGUAUGAGUUUCUGUAGCUUGCGAGGAGUUCUGAAUGAACUAAGGCGGUAGGUCGGUAAGACCUAGAAUUUGGCGAAAAACUGUCGGCUUCUCUGGUGUUGAUAAAUGCUCAAUGGUUUUUGACAAAUUGAAAGAGUACUCAAAUUUCUCACAUNAACAGUGUGUCCUAGAAAUUUGACUCUUCAAUUUCCAAAUCUCGUGCCUAGAGAACUUUGCUAAAAGUUCCUCUGUAGGAAAUGUUUUCAUGGGUUUUCUUCUUACUACGAGGGUAGAUAAGUAAGUCAUUUCAUGGAGAAAUGACGAAUCGAUCCAAGUAAGAAAGACGUAACCCUAUUCAUUUAUCCCAUGAAGACCAUGGGCGUAUUGGUCCUAUCCGAAAGGUAUCACUGCGAAAUCGAAGUGUCCGUAUCGAGUUCCGGAGAUAGUGUUUCGGACAUCCUUCCCUAACACUCGAAUUGGUGAUAUUCGAAUAUCAGUUCCAUUCCUGGAAGUAGUUUCUUUCCUUACGUUUGCUCAACCAUUUUGUCUAUGCGAGGCAGAGAUAACGAUUUCUAUGAAAAUCUUGACGGAAUCCUCGAUAUCCGAGGCACAUACGAUGCGAUCCAUCGAUCUCUGGAAGAAUCUGACCGGGGUUCUCGAAGGUGAGAAGCCUAGUCUGCUAAUUCUAUUUCUGUGUAGAUCGUUAAGUUGUUCGUACUGUUCUUGCAUCUCCGUGGGGUUUAAACUANNNNNNNNNNNNNNNNNNNNNNNNNNNNNNNNNNNNNNNNNNNNNNNNNNNNNNNNNNNNNNNNNNNNNNNNNNNNNNNNNNNNNNNNNNNNNNNNNNNNNNNNNNNNNNNNNNNNNNNNNNNNNNNNNNNNNNNNNNNNNNNNNNNNNNNNNNNNNNNNNNNNNNNNNNNNNNNNNNNNNNNNNNNNNNNNNNNNNNNNNNNNNNNNNNNNNNNNNNNNNNNNNNNNNNNNNNNNNNNNNNNNNNNNNNNNNNNNNNNNNNNNNNNNNNNNNNNNNNNNNNNNNNNNNNNNNNNNNNNNNNNNNNNNNNNNNNNNNNNNNNNNNNNNNNNNNNNNNNNNNNNNNNNNNNNNNNNNNNNNNNNNNNNNNNNNNNNNNNNNNNNNNAAUGAGUACUUCGGCGUUCUGAUAUGACGGCUUCUCUGGAAAAGUGAUCUAGAAGAUAGGGACGUACGUAUGAAGUUGUUUUCGCGUUGAUGAAAUGGAAUCUGAUUGUAUGAUAAUGUCGGGAUCAUACAGAAACUUUAAAGACAUUAGAAUUAAACAUAAGACGUUUACAGACAAACACAACCGCGCAACCAUGAACAAGAGUUACAGUACUUUAGAUUUACUACUAGACUAUUGUUGCGAAUAAGAUAUACUACAAAAGACAAGUAUACGCAGCACGAGAAUUCCUAUACAGACAGGAUCUCGCAAAAGGUAAGACUCUAGUUGCACUAGUUCUAAAUAGUUUAUAAGUCUGUUACAACGAAACGCCUUAAAUACAUUAACGUGGUUCCUGAGCAGGCUCUCAUGCAGCUGUGAUCCUGAGAAUCUUCCCAUCAGCGCCAGAAUUUUGCGUUAUCGGGCAAUUCCUCUGGAGGUGUCCAAUUUCACCGCAUUGGUGACAUAUAUGGACAGUACCCACGUUGGUGGUGGAAGUGAAACGUCGAGUAGGAGUUAUGGGAACGCGGCUGUUUUCAUCGAUCUCCCCUUUUGGGCAAUUUCUGUAAUAGUGCCCUGCUCACCACAGUUAUAGCAAUUUAGGUUGGCCCUAGUUGUGGAGGUAGCUCUACAAAAACGGGUGAUGUGCCCUUUCUUGUUGCAGUUCACGCACUGCAAGACUCGGCACAUUCCCUCGUGGUGGUAAUUCCACCGGUCGCACUUCGGGAGUGUUCCCUUAUAUGGUCUGCGUGGUACUGGGAUGACAGAGGUUUGUGACUGUUGCAUGGCAAUUCUCUGGAACCGUUUGCGUUCCACUUUGGCUUGACGUUUUCUUUUCUUGAACUCUGAGUUGUUGUUUUGGGUGGUGGCGACUGUUUCUAUUUGUUGGUUCCCCGGAUCAUUAACAUGAUCGGGAUUUUCAAUCCCUUUUGCAGCCUUGUCUGCAUUGGCAGUGCUGCGGUUUGCCAGGACUGCGGUCNGGUUUCCCGGUUUUGUACUAUCAUCGGAACUCUCGACUCCUUUUUCAGUCUUGUUUGUGUUGCCUGUGUUGAUGUGUGUAAGGAAAGUUGUCACCGCAGCUGCUACUGCAGCUUGUAAUGUAGUGGCGUCGAUAGUAAAAGUAGAGGUCUCGUUGCUUGGCUGGUUGUUUUCGGAUGACGACAUGAUUAUCUCUAUGAUGCAGCCCUAGUUAAAGAACGAAUGUAUGUUCGCGAAGGUUUGACCUACAUCUCCAUGAUGUAGUCCUAGUACGGACUGGAAGUAUGUUCGUAGAAUGGUCUCAAGACGUUUGUCGUUCGAGCUGAGGUAUCGUGGGUUGGUGAAUAACAAGAUCCAACCACUGAAGGAGACUUGGAAGUGUCUCCUGAAUAAAUCACCAUAGUCCAAUGACUUGACUAAAGUAUGAUUCAGAUAGACUCCAAUGAAAGUAAGAUAAAAGUACUUGAAAUGAAGAAUGACGCAACAGUUAGCCGACUAUCAAUAUCUUUGAUAUUCACGACGUAAAGAUUCAGGAAAAUGACCUUGUAAAGGUCUUACAUCAUAUCCACAGAGGAUAGUUCCAGACAGCAUAAAGACCUAACUAAAGUACUUACAGAACAAGAUAAUUUCAUAGAAAAUGCCACAUCGGGCAUAGACAGAAAAACACGAUUCCUUUUUAUAAGGGAAAUAAAGUAAAGCGUCUACUACUGGCGACGGUCAUUCCUCUGGUGAACUAUUAGUUCAGCCAAUUGACGUUCCACGUCAAGUAGGUGUCUUUCGCACACUAUCUGGCGUACUUGGAGCUCUUAGACUUCGGCUCGUGAUUCAGCCAGUGCUUGCAACAGGNUACUUAGAUUGUUCAUGCUAAAAGUAAGAGUAUGUUCUCGAAAGUUUGACCUACAUCUCUAUGAUGCAGCCCUAGUUAAAGAACGAAAGUAUGUUCGCGAAGGUUUUGACCUACAUCUCCAUGAUAUAGUCCUAGUACGGAAUGGAAGUAUGUUCGUAGAAUGGUCUCAAGACGUUUGUCGUUCGAGUUGAGGUAUCGUGGGUUGGUGAAUAACAAGAUCCAACCACUGAAGGAGACUUGGAAGUGUCUCCUGAAUAAAUCACCAUAGUCCAAUGACUUGACUAAAGUAUGAUUCAGAUAGACUCCAAUGAAAGUAAGAUAAAAGUACUUGAAAUGAAGAAUGACGCAACAGUUAGCCGACUAUCAAUAUCUUUGAUAUUCACGACGUAAAGAUUCAGGAAAAUGACCUUGUAAAGGUCUUACAUCAUAUCCACAGAGGAUAGUUCCAGACAGCAUAAAGACCUAACUAAAGUACUUACAGAACAAGAUAAUUUCAUAGAAAAUGCCACAUCGGGCAUAGACAGAAAAACACGAUUCCUUUUUAUAAGGGAAAUAAAGUAAAGCGUCUACUACUGGCGACGGUCAUUCCUCUGGUGAACUAUUAGUUCAGCCAAUUGACGUUCCACGUCAAGUAGGUGUCUUUCGCACACUAUCUGGCGUACUUGGAGCUCUUAGACUUCGGCUCGUGAUUCAGCCAGUGCUUGCAACAGGGCUUCAUGGUUUCUCUCUGUUUUCUCGUGAACAUCCUCUAGAUGAAUGGUGUGGAGGGUAUGCAUUCUAGCAUAGGCGACUACUUCUGUAAUCUGAUGUAGGGUUGUCCUGCCUUGAAUCUCAUUUCUGGCCUCUCUGCGGACCAAGAUUGGCAAGACUAUAUCCGCUAAGCGCUUAUUGCUCCAGUCGUAAAAGCUUCGGUAGCCAUUAAAUAGCAAAACUGAUCUUGUCCUUGGCUCCAUGUUUCCAAGCAUUCCACUCACUCAGGGUCGGGCCAUGAAAAGCCAGAAGUGGGUUAGGAAUUGAAACGGGAGCUGCUCGAGGUAGGUUCUCAACCUCUGGUUCGGGGUUAGCAUCAUACGAAAAGUCUUCAUCACGGUGAUCAUCCAGGGAAUAGGAUGAUCAUUCUCUGGUUCUUCUCCAAACCAGCCAGCUAUGACUUCAUUCGAAAGAUACUAGUUGUCAAGGGGAUGGAGUCUAGUUAUGAUUUCUAUGCGAGAAUUUAGGGUAAGAAGAUAAUUAUUAGACGAACUAUCUGGAUAAUUAUUUAGAAAACCUUCACUAGUUACAUCGCUAUUUGUGAAGUGUAUACCAGCUAUGUGUAAUCUAAACAGGAUAGACCUUCGAAUAAGUGACCUUAACUCCUUAUUCACACAGAAUAGGGGUAAGGCAAAAUUAUCACAGAUUCUGAGUCUAUAACGUCCUAAUUACAUGUAGCCUCAGUGUAUCCACUUAGCAACUAUUAACUUAGUAAUGAAGAUCCCAUUUUAAUUCUCAAGUAUAAAGUACUUAUAGUAACACCAAAUACUCCUAUAGUAUUUUAAAUUUUUAAUGUUAUGUUCUAUUGUUCUCAUUGUGGUAGGGUUGGUAAGAUUUUAGCAUUGUUGCAACCACACACUUAAACUUAGGCACAUGCUAGUCAACCCUCGGAUAAUAUAGGUGAUCAGGCUAUAUCUUCCCAGUUUUGACCAUAUGUCUCUAAGCCCACUUGUGUUGCCCAACAAUCGUAAUUCUUUUGUACUGUCCUAAUGACAUUGAUUUUAGUAUGAAUGCAGCACGUAUACUUACUUAAAUAUUUUACUAUUUAAAGUAUAAACUCUUGGUCAGAGUAUUUUUAAUCCCUUAUGUAUUUAUAGUUAGUAUAUCUUUUAUGGGUUGAUAUACUUAAUUCACUAUAAACAAUGCUCUGAUACCAAUCUGUCACACCCCAAAACCAAGAACGGCGGAAACGUUCUGGGGCGGAGGACGUCAUGUAUAAUAUCAACAACAAUGUAAAGUAGUAAACAAGCAACAACAUCAUCCAUUGCAUUAAUAAAAUAAUUAUUAUACAAUUGUAUUCUGUCAAAUUUUGAUAAACACUAAAGCAUAAAUCAAAAUGAAAGAUAAGUCUUGAAUAAGCUUCAUCUUCCUUUCUCCUUGCAUCGGUACCUGUCUAUGAUGACCUGAGGAUACAAGUAAUUUUGAAAGCGAGUAUCAGCUNNNNNNNNNNNNNNNNNNNNNNNNNNNNNNNNNNNNNNNNNNNNNNNNNNNNNNNNNNNNNNNNNNNNNNNNNNNNNNNNNNNNNNNNNNNNNNNNNNNNNNNNNNNNNNNNNNNNNNNNNNNNNNNNNNNNNNNNNNNNNNNNNNNNNNNNNNNNNNNNNNNNNNNNNNNNNNNNNNNNNNNNNUGGAUGUAUACCCUUGCUACCCAAGGGCAUAGGAUGAAUUGGAAGGACCUUUUAUGACUUUAUAUGUACACAUGAUAUAUAACUAAUAUUUAAACGACCUUCGGACGAGUAUCCGAUAUCCCACCAGACCACAUCUCAAGCGCGAAAAGGAAAUAGGGUGGAUAGCCUUCCUAAGUCUUUUAAACAUUUCUUAUAUAACUAUACAUAUAGAGGCAUGCAAUUUAUAAUAUCAAAGCAUAAAUAAGUUUAUUAACAUUUGAAAUAUAAAUAUUAUUCAACGGAAAGAUCGACUUGAUGUCAAUCUAUAAAACAAUUUGAAGGCAUAAGUCUGAUAAAACGAUAUAAGUACAAGGAACAUUUGUUUGAAAACACAGUUGUAAAUAAGUUUGAAAUAUGAUGACAGUGUAAGAAGUACAGUGUAAUAAGUAGUUUAAAUCAUCUAAAAUGUUUAUAAAAACCAUUUGAAGGAAAACUAUUUGAUAAAACGGCUAAUUAGUAGCCAAAUCUUUUGAAUGUUGUAUAUUAAUCACAUGUGAUUGAUGUAAUAAGUAAUAUAAUCCUACUUACUAANCCAAAAGUUUGAAUUUUCACUGAAACUGCUCUACUUCCAUUGGAUUGAUGUGGUUUGAUUUGAAUGGAAAAUUUCGGGUUGUCACAGUUAAGGGGUAUGAACUCACCUGCAGUAUGUGACUGGAAUUGAACGGGCUGUUAUCGUACGGAAGGAUCAGACAAGUGCUUGGUGUCAAGUGAAGACUUAGACACACACAAUGAUCCUAAUUACAUAUGAAACAUAUGUAUAUAAAUAAUUAGUGAUUAUAACACUAAUUAUACAAGUAAUAACAUUUAAGCGCGAGGACAACACUUUUGGUCAAGUGCUAGGAGGCUAAUGGGUUGCAACAAAGAAGUGCAAUGCCCCUAAUGAAAGUUUAAGGUCAAAAGACCAUAUUCAUUAGAGUUUACGGCCCAGGGGAGUAAGCUCCUGGCCGUAAACUCUCAAACAAGUCAUGAAAUGGAGUUUAAAAGUACUACAACCUUAGAGGGGAAUUGUUUCAAGGCUAUACAAGUGUUUGGGCACCACAUUGACUCCUUUGGGGAGUUUACGGCCCAAAGACCCUUCUCCCUUGGAGUUUACGGCCGUAAACUCCCUUGGGAGGGUUCUUAUUGUCCUUUCAAGUCUCUAACAUUUCUAGGAACAAGUCUAGGCUUCAAUACUUGGAUCAAGGGAGGUUUAUGGCAUUAAAUGGAACCAUUUGAUGGAGUUUACGGCCAUAGAACUCUUUGGGCCGUAAACUCCCUCACACAUGAGGUUCUAAGAAUUUUAACUAGCCCAAAACUCAUCUAGGUACUUGCCCUAAAAGUCUCUUGGCCUAAGGAAGUGUCUAGGGUGUCCUUUGACCCCUUUAAAGGAGUUUACGGCCCAAGAAAUACUCUUGGCCGUAAACUCUUCAACACUUGAGCUUUUCAUGAUUUUUCUAGGUCCUAAACACAUUAAGGUACUAGCCAAAAAUGAAGACUAAGCCUUAGGAAGAGUUUGAAGUGGUUUUGGCACUUAAUCUUGGAGUUUACGGCCUAAGGAGCAUCUUGGCCGUAAACUCCCUUCCAAAGUUGGUUUCUAAUUGUUUUGUGGGUCUAAAUCAUGAGUUUAAGGCUUCUAGGUUCUUGUUCUAAGGCUAAAGGAACACUAGGCACUCAUUUGUGCCCUUUACUUGGAGUUUACGGCCCAAGAGGUUGUUCCUUGGCCGUAAACUCCUCAAACUACUUGCUUUUGAUUUGUUUCUAGCCUCUAAUGAUCAUACACUAAGUCCUUAGUUAGAUGCCUAACACGGAAAUGGGACUAGGUGGCCUUUAGGCUUGAUUUUGGAGUUUACUCCCCAAGAACGUUCUUGGGCGGUAAACUCCCGGAUCUUGUGUUUUGGACAUGUAAACAAUGUUAUAAAGCAUAUAACAAGUAUUAAAACACAUUUAGGGAAGUAGACUCACAAUCUGGGAUGAAAACCCGAAGAUCCGUGAGAGAGUAUUUGGCUUUUCUCUAAAUGGAAAUCAAAUAAUGAACCAAUUUGGUUCAGAAUUCUAUUUAUAGUCCAGAGAUUUUUGGCAGAAAAUAUUUCUAUUCUCGGAAUGGAUUCUAAUGACCUAGAGUAAUGGAAUUACAGUGUUGCACAAAAUCCUAGUGCACCCACUCUCCUAAUAACUCCUUAGGUGUAAAACCCUAAAACUGCCAAACUUAUUCCAAAAGUUUGAAUUUUCACUGAAACUGCUCUACUUCUAUUGGAUUGAUGUGGUUUGAUUUGAAUGGAAAAUUUCGGGUUGUCACACCGUCAACUAGUCAGGCUUCCGGAGUAGGUAUCGGUCAAACCUGCUACAAUUAUGGAGAGGUCGAACACUAUAAGCGAAACUGUCCGAAGACAGUAACAUCUGGCAACACCGGGAGAGUCCUAACCAUGGGACAAGAAAGGACAGCCGCCGAUCCCACCGUUGCUACAUGUAUACUUCUCUUUGAUAAAUCUUGUGCCCGUGAUCCUUCUCGAUUCUAAUGUUGUAAGAAUUUGCUAAUCAUUCAUUCAAAUAUUCUUCUAAACUAAAUCCUUCAUUUAUAAUCGAAAUGUGUGCCGUCGAAAUGACCAACUAGUGAGAGAGAGAGAACGUUAACGCCAUACCCCUAGAUCGUAUCCUUAAUGCGGAUGAAUAUUCCUUUCCAUUCUAUCAAAUGGUAAAUCUUUCAUUGAAAGCUUGAUGCAAUCUUGGCAUGGAAUGACUGAGUCUCAUUCAUGUUGUUGUUCUUGUCUUUGAAAGAGUCGUCCAUCCGAAUCUAUCCCUGACCCAACUCUCCUGAUUCGACAUCAANACCUGAAUCCAACCUUCACAUCUUCGUGCAUUAAGCUUAGAAAGUUUUCCAUGCAUUUCUCGACUAUGUGACAUUCGGAAAGCGAAAAUUCUGCAGCUCCUUCCCCGAUGCCUUUCCUGAAAACUUUCGAAAUUUCCUUCCGAGCGUCUAGCCAAGUCUAGUAUCGACCUAAUGCUUGGGAAAGCGAAAUACUUUCCUAGUGAUUCAGUAGACUCUUCGCAACCCUUGUGGAAUCAAUUCCGUAACCUUCAAACUUCGAUUACUCUCGGAACCUAGUAGCAUCCAUCUGAUACUUAAUGCAUCGGUCUUUGAGAAGUAUCUACCCAACGAAAUCAAGACGCGUCCCGAUAGUGAGGGUUCACUAAAACGUCAAGCGAAGACCCGAAGCAGUAGAUUCAUCCUCGUAUCUCUUUUCACUUUGUGAUCUGUGUUCGAAUCUUUGAAUUUCGGGACGAAAUUCCCUCUAACGGGGGGAUAAUGUAACAACCCAAAAUUCAUAUCCCUAAAUGUAACCCUUCUUGCGACUCGUUCCGAUUAUCCAAUCGCCGUUUCCGGUUUCAUUUUCGAUUUCAGCAUUUUAUUAAGUCAUUAUUGUAUAUUUUAUGUUAUGACCUAAUGAGUGUCCAUAUGCCCUUAGAACUCAUUCUAACGCCUAAUAUUAAUGAUCGGAACAUUUCUAGAAUCAACCAUGUCGGGUUACUGCAAAUUAGCCGGGUGCGAUCAAAAGCCCCGUCUAAAGCCGGUAUCGGGUAGAAUUUCAUCGUGUCCAAAUCCCGAACACUAUUUAAAGUGUUCUAAGACUUCAUUUUGAAGCUUUUUCCUCAUUCUACAACUAUCACCCAAACCUGUCUCCUUAAACUAGAAUUAAAGGUCCAAAUCUCAAGUUUAAGGUUUCAAAUCUUUGAGGUAACUUCCCUAGCAUGUUAUACAACCUCUUUAGCCUUCAAAUUCGAGUAUAAUCUAUGGAUUAGGACCAUUAUCAUGUGUUUACGGCCCUAGAACUAUACUAGGCCGUAAACUCCUUUUUAAGGGGUUUUUGAGCAACAAAACGCUUCCAAACCUCAACUAGAUGUUAGAUAUGGCUAAAUGACUUUAUGGAAUGAGUUUAGAAUGACUUGAAGCACGAUUUAGAGCCUUGUUUAAGAGUUUACGGCCCUGGAAAGUUUCUAGGCCGUAAACACUAAUUUAGAGGGUUUUUAAGCCCUUAAACCCUUCCAUGGCUCAAACAAGACUUAGAUACGACUUUUAGAAUAUUGGUUAUGGACCUAGAACACUUCAAACAUAAAAUUUUAAGAUGUUUGUAUGAGUUUACGGCCAAGGCAUGUGCUUGGGCCGUAAACUCCUCUAUUAUGGGAAUAAACUCACUUCUAAGGUGUUAGAAAGCCAUCCAACACCACCAAAAGCCUUGGAAUAAAUCAUAGAACCAACCAAAAAUAGUUUAAGGACCUUAAGCACAUCAAAACCUCACAUAUGAGAGUUUACGGCCAUUGAACAUGCCCCAUGGCCGUAAACUCCUAAAAGUGUGUCAAAUGGUGCCACAUAUUCAUUUCUAGGCUUGUAGGAAUUUUUAGAAUCACAUGUGAUUAAUUUUGAGACCCUAAAAACACUUAUUCAAGGGGUUAUGAGAGUUUACGGCCAUAGGCCCCAUGCCAAGGCCGUAAACUCCCUUAAGUGUUGUAUUUGGUGAUUUUAAUUCAUUCCAAGCCUUAGGUAAAAUUAUUCCAAACAUUUCCAAGUGUCAAUAGCCAUUUGUGACCCCUUUAAGCACCAUAAACCACCCCACCGUGAGUUUACGGCCGUAAACUCAUGUGGAAUGGGUGUUUAGGCCGUAAACUUCAUUAGGGAGUUUGCUCUUGGGGAGUAAACUCAAAUCCCAAGUCCCUCGCUUCAAUUCCCGUCCGUAGAUGUCACCCGGGUCACUCCAAACACCCGUUUUGGGGCGUUUUUGUUCGUUGGAGUGUGACUUCAUAUCUAAUUAGAGUUUAUGAAUCUAACUAGAUAUAUUUGUAUGCCAUUUCAUAUUACAUAGGAACCUCACGUAUUAUCAGGCCUCGAUUUGACGUUUAGCACCCGAAAUCGACACAUUUCCGCGUCCGGUUAGUUCAUACCCCUACCCUUUUCCGUGUUUUUCAUUGUUUUCACUGUUUUUCAGGGGGGGAAUACAAGCAAAAUUACAAAUAUAUUUUGUACUUAAACUGAUUUUCAAUAUAAUGGUUUAUUUACUAAAUUUCUUGAUUGUGAUAACUGAUGUUUUGAACUGCAGGUUAAAUACAGAUUUCUUUUAAAUAUUGUAAUUAUAUUGUCUUUUGUAAAAGAAAUCAUACUAAUUAUAACUAAGUACGAAUACAAAUAAUGAAUAUAACUAAUAGGAUAGAACGAAUGCGAAUAACGAAUAUAACUAAGUACGAAUACGAAUAACGGAUAUAACUAAUAGGAUAGAACGAAUGCAAAUAACGAAUAUAACUAAGUACGAAUACGAAUAACGAAUAUAACUAACAGGACAGAACGAAUGCGAAUACGAAUAUAACUAAGUACGAAUACGAAUAACGAAUAUAACUAUGAUGAUAAAACGAAUACGAAUAACGAAUAUAAUUAACAGGAUAGAACGAAUAUGAAUAGGCUUAGGACUACGAAUACGAAAUAACGCCUUUGGAUGACAGCAAGACUUCGAAUAUACAACUAGUGUACGCCUUGAAUGUCACCAGAGUUCCAAAUACGAAAGUAUGCCUCUGGACCUCUACUUACUUUUGAUUACAUCCGCCUCAGAAUGUCGACAGAGAUACGAAAAUACAACUAAUGUACUCUUUUGGAAUCCACCAGAAUAAUCGAAAAUACUGUAAUGUACGUUUCUGGUGAAUCCAAAUAUACGAAAAUACAACUAAGUUUGUAGGUUAUAGUCAUACGAAUGUAGUAUAUCUAGGAGUUUAGAAUACUUAACUAAUUCUACACAUAUGGUAAGUACUAAUACUAUGAAAUCAAACCUAAGAACCAAACAACUCAACACAUAGGAAAAUAUGGGAUUUUCCUAGGAUAACAUAACAACUAGUAUCGAACUUAGAAUCAAAUAGCCAAUUCAACACAUAGGAAACUAUGGGAUUUUCCUGGAUAGCAUAACAAAACAUAAGCGAAUAAAGUAACAAACGAAUAACUAAAACUAUAAGGAAAAUAUGGGAUUUUCCUGGAAUAACACAACAAACCGUAUUUGAAAUUGUAAUAAAAGAUAACUAAACCAUUUUAUAAGAAAAUAUGGGAUUUUCUUGAACAAUAACCAUUUCAGAAAGUAAAGGGAACUCGUUCUUUUCAAAACUAAACCGCUUAUGAACUCACCAGCUUUAUGCUGAUUUUCAAACUGCUUGUAUUCUCAGGUUAGAGUUAGUCAGGUACACCGCAACCUUUUGGAGAAGACGGAGCGUCCCGAAGACUCGUCUUUACUUUUGUUCAUAUUACAUAUGUAAAACACUUGUACAACUUUUACUUUUAAACAGAUGUAAACAAUAUUAUGUAAUGUAAUGUUUUAUGAUUACUGCUUUACUAUGUGCAUUGGAUUUGAUACUCAACGUGGAGUCAACCCCGGAAAUGUUUCCGCCUUUGGUUUUCGGGGUGUGACACUAGCAAGGCCCAACAAGCAUGAUUUGAAACUUCCAAGCCCAAAUUUUGUAAAUUGGCUCAUCGUAGUUAUCGUGUAUUUAUUUAGGUGGUUUGGUUUAGCGCCUGUUGUUUUGUAUUGAUUCGAGACCGAAUCACUACGUUUGUAACGAUAUUUGUUGUUGAAAGUGUAUUUGUUUUCCGUUUCCUUGGUAGUCGUGGAUCUUGUAUUUUGUAUUAAUGAAUUAAUUUGUUUAAAGGUGGAAUUUGAUCUUUUCACUACCCUUCUUUUAUAAAAAUAACACUUUUGGUCCUUUUAUAUAAAAGAAUUUUAGUUUUAGUUCCUUAAAACAUUUUCUUGACACUUUUGUAUCAUAAACUUGUUGAAUAUACAGUUCUAAUCCAAAAUUGAUUUUGUUGGCAGCUUCAGCCCUUCCAGAAUGGUAUUUCUCGGUUAGAACCCCAUUUUUCUUAACUUUUACAAUUUUUGCCCAAAAUCUAAAAACUUUGCAUUUUCGGUCCUUUUUUUACAGUAAAAGGCAUUUUUGACCCUAAAAAUAUUUUGUUAUGCUCAUUACCCCUGUUUUACAGAAAGUUUCAUUUCAGCCCCUUAAAUUUAUCAUUUUUCGCAUUUUGAGGCUUAUUGGGCCGAAAAGCCCAAAAUUAUCCCAUUAAGCUAAAAAUUUACAUUUUAAGUCCCUUGAAAAUUCUAUUAUUCAGAAAAAUGAUUAUAGAAACUGUUUUGACCCUCAAGAAACCAUGACUUGUCGAUUUGUAACCCAAGUUUUUUCUUUUUAUUUUUGACAAUUUAAGCCCUAAAAUGGGUUUUAUGUUAGAAUAUGUUCAUCAUAACCUUAUAAGCUAUCAUUAUUGACUUGUUAGCUGUAAAAUAGCUUAGAUUAUGUUUUUUUCCUUUCCCUUGUCAUAAAUCUUGGGUUUACACCCCUUUUGUUAACAUAUUCAUCACAAAAACACAUGAAAUCACACACAUACAUGCAUAAAAUCACACAUAGCAUACACAUACACAUAGAUCUCCACAUUUUCUUGUAUUCUCCCCCAUAAAACUCAUGAAAACCGAAAAGAAAGGGUUAUGAAGCUAACCUUGAGUUGUGGUCUCGGUUUUGAAGAAGAUUGGUAGAAGUUUGGUGCUAUUUUCGGCCCUCACAAGUUUCUUGGAUGGAUCUCAAACUUAGUGGGUUCUAAGAUGAAAGAUCAUGAAUUUGAAUGGGUUAAGAGAUGAUUUUUGAUGAAAAGAAGUGAGUUAAAGCAUGGAUCAAAUAUCAACGUACCUUAGAUUUGUGAUAUUAAGAAGAGAUUUCCUUGUAGCCCUUGUGAGUCUUGAAAUUUUUGAGGGAGAGUGUAUGGAUGUUCUAAUGAGAGUUUGAGAGAAUGAAGAUAAAUUUUGUGAGUGUGUGUGUGUGUUUGGCCGAGAGAAGAAGGGAGGGGAAGAGCGAGACCUUGAUGAGAUGUUUGCUUGGAAGUAUGAAUUGCAUGCAUGGAGACCCAACAAAUAAAAAUGAGGUGGCACAAAAGUCAACUCUCCUUUCUUCAUGCUUUGAGGUUGGGCCAAGAAUUAGAGAAAUAAAAGGAAAAUUUUGGGCCUUUGGUGUUUAAUCCAUAUUAUGGCUUAAUUAGAUGAUUAUUGGCCCAAAAAAAUCAAGAAAUGACUUUUAUGGCUCAUUAGGGAUAAUUAGGUUAGUAGUGGCCCAAUGAGGUCCAUUAAAGUUUUUUAUUUCAUUCUAGGCCCAAUAUGGCCCAAAAUAUUAAAACAAGUAGAAGUGGGUCCAAUUUAAGCCCAUUUAAGAGUUCUAAGCUCAAGAUAGUCAAAUUGGAAGCUUAUUGGCCCAUUGGGUCCAAUAAGGAAAUCCUAGUCCAUAAUAGACUUAAACCGGGAUUUCUAGGGUUUCCAAUUCUUUGUUGACUAUUUGCAGUGCUUGUAUGAAGUUUUUGAUUGAAGUUUGUUGUUAUUGAAUAAGCAUCUUACAUGCUGUCACGUUGUUGGUUCACAUUCGUUAUCAUUGUUCCAUGUUUACAAGGCAUCGAAUUUCCUAGUUGUGACAUCAUCCCCCCGUUAGAGGGAAUUUCGUACUGAAAUUCUUUUGAAAGCUAGAUUUGAGAAUGCGAGAAUAGGUGAGGGUACUUCUGCUUCAUCUGGUCUUCGCGUUCCCAUGUGAACUCUGGCCUACGCUUCGCGUUCCACUGUACCUUCACAAUAAGAAUGCGACUAUGCUUGGUACGCUUCACCUCCCUGUCCAUUAUUUCGACUGGUUCCUCCAUGAACAAGAGAUUCUCAUUGAUUUCAAUUUCAUCAAGGGGAAUGACGAGAGUUUCAUCAGAUAAGCACUUCUUUAGGUUGGAAAAAUGGAACACGGGAUGUAUGCUGCUGAGCUCAGCGGUAGCUGUUGUCUGUACGCUACUAGACCAAUUCGGGCAAGAAUCUCGAAAGGUCCAAUGUAUCGUGGAUUCAAUUUUCCAUGCUUUCCAAAACAAAUAGCUCCUUUCCAGGGAGAAACUUUUAACAACACCCGAUCCCCGACCUGAAACUCUAAGGCCUUUCGUCGUUUAUCAGCGUAGCUCUUCUGUUGGUCGCGUGAUGCUUGUAGUCGAGCUCUGAUUUGAACUAUCUUUUCCAUGGUUUCACGUAUGAUCUCCGGUCACGUUAACGUCUUGUCUGAUGUCAGUUCUCUCGCUAGCUGGGUGUCGCCUACCUCAGCCCAACACAAUGGUGAUCUACACUUACGUCCAUACAGUGCCUCGAAAGGAGCAACUUUGAUGCUCGAAUGGUAAUUGUUGUUGUAUGAGAAUUCAACUAAGGAUAAGUGGGUAUCCCAGGACUUCCCAAAGUCUAUCACACAUGCGCGAAGCAUGUCUUCAAGCGCCUGAAUGGUUCGUUCGCUUUGACCAUCCGUUUGUGGGUGAUAAGCAGUGUUCAUGUUGAGAUGGGUUCCCAGUGCUUUUUGAAGUGAUUGCCAAAAACGUGAAGUGAAUCUACUAUCUCUAUCUGAGAUGAUAGACACCAGCACUCCGUGAAUUCUCACGAUUUCUCGAAUGUAUAUUCUUGUCAAUCUCUCCAUCUUGUAGGAUUCUUUUAUUGGCGGGAAAUGAGCGGAUUUCGUCAGUCUGUCGACUAUUACCCAUAUAGUGUCCAAUCCAUCUGACGACUUCGGUAACUUGGUCACAAAAUCCAUGGUAAUCCUUUCCCAUUUCCACUCGAGAAUUACUGGUUGCUGUAAUAACCCUGAGGGCUUCUAGUAUUCUACCUUUACCUUGGCACAAGUAAGGCAUUUGCUAACAUAGGUGGCAAUCUCUGCCUUCAUGUUAGGCCACCAAUAAUGUUGUUUAAUAUCCAAGUACAUUUUGUCCGAACCCGGAUGGAUGGAGUAUCGCGUCUUGUGAGAUUCAUUCAUGACUACCUCCCUAAAUCCUCCAAGUUCAGGGACGCAAAUACGGUUCAUGAAAUAAUAUACUCCGCCCUCUUUCACCUCGAGCUUCUUCUCCAUUCCGCGUAACACUUCGCUUGUUUUUUUUUCCGCCUUCAUGGCAUCUGACUGUGCUUCCCUAAUCUAAGUGGCUAGGUGAGAUUGGAUGGUUAUUGUGAGAUUUUUCACACGACGAUUAGAGUACCCUUUCCGACUCAAGGCAACAGCUACUACGUUAGCCUUGCCUGGUUGGUACUUGAUUUCACACUCAUAAACGUUUAAUAGUUCAACCCAUCCUCGUUGCCUCAUAUUCAACUCUUUUUGAUUCAAGAUGUGCUGGAGACUCUUGUGGUCUGUGAAGAUGGUGCACUUCGUACCGUAUAGGUAGUGCCUCCAAAUUUUCAGGGCGAAGACCACUGCUCCCAAUUCCAGAUCAUGGGUUGUAUAGUUAACUUCGUGUGUCUUUAGUUGUCGGGACGCGUAAGCAAUCACCUUUCCAUACUGCAUGAGAACACAACCUAAACUCUGAUUUGACGCGUCACCGUAGAUUAUGAAAUCUUUUGUUCCCUCUCGUAGUGAUAGUACCGGGGCAUUGCAGAGUGCUUGCUUCAGAGUUCGGAAUGCAUCUUCUUGCUUGUCCGUCCAUUCGAAUGGUACACCAUUUUGUGUAAGCGAGGUAAGUGGCUUGGCGGUCUUAGAGAAGUUUUAAAUGAACCUCCUAUAGUAACCUGCUAGACCUAAGAAUUGGUGAAUUUCUGUGGGCGUUGUUGGGACUGCCCAUCCUUCGAUGGCUUUGACCUUAGAAGGAUCCACAUGUAUUCCUUCCUGACUAACAACAUGACCCAAAAAGUUAACGCUACGGAGCCAGAACUCACACUUGGAGAGUUUUGCGUAUAGCUUCUCAGUUUGUAGGAGUUCCAGGAUUUGUCGGAGAGGUUGGCCAUGCUCUUCUUUGCUUCGAGAAUAAACUAGAAUUUCGUCAAUGAAAACAAUAACAAAGUUUUCGAGGAAUGGUCGGCAGAUUCGAUUCAUUACGUCCAUGAAUGCGGCAGGGGCAUUCGUGAGACCGAAGGGCAUUACGACAAAUUCAUAAUGUCCGUAACAAGUUCGGAAAGCGGUUUUGGGAAUAUCCUCUUCCCGGACCUUGAGUUGAUGGUACCCAGACCGCAGAUCUAUCUUAGAGAAGUAACUAGCUCCUUGGAGUUGGUCAAAUAGAUCGUCGAUUCGUGGGAGUGGAUAGCGAUUUUUGACAGUGAGCUUAUUUAGUUCUCUGUAAUCGAUGCACAUCCUAAAAGACCCGUCUUUCUUUUUGACAAAGAGAACUAGAUCUCCCCAUGGCGAGAAGAUGGGUCGAAUGAAUCCCUUGUCCAGGAGUUCACUGAGUUGGCUAGACAAUUUCUACAUCUCAGCAAGAGCCAAUCAGUAAGGAGAUUUUGCGAUGAGAGUAGCUCCUGGCACAAGAUCAAUUCGAAAUUCAAUUUGUCUUUCUGGGGAUAUCCCAGGAAGAUCUUCAGGAAAGAUGUCUGGGAAUUCACAUGCUACAGGAAUGUCUUGAACAUUAACCUCUUCCUUGGAUUUAUCCACUAUGUGCGCCAGGAACGUCAAAUCUUUCUUUCGUAGAUACUUCUAUGCCUGGACGCACGAGAUGAGACGAAGAUCCGUGCUGGGUUUGUCUCUGUAAAUAAUUAGGGUUUCAUGAUUUGGAAGGUGAAGGCGAAGGGCCUUCUCAUGACACAUAAUUUCAGCAUGGUGGGGGCUUAACCAAUCCAUGCCAAUAAUCACAUCAAAACUCCUAAUGGAAACAUGCAUUAAGUUUAUUCGAAAGACGUGUUGAUUUAGGGCUAGGGUACAUCCGAUAUAGAUUUCCCCAGUGGAUUCUAUUUUCCAAUUAGCCAUUUCCACCGUAAAGGUUUCAUUGAGCUUCUGGGGUUGUUGUUUUAACAAAUGCUUAAACUUAUUGCUCACAAAACUUCGUUAUGCUCCGGUAUCAAAUAGGAUGCAUGCAUAAGUGUGGUUUAGGAGGAACGUAUCGGUGACAACAGCGGGAUCCUGAACCGCUUCUCCCUGACCCAUGGUCAACACCCUUCCUGCCCCUCCAUUCCCGAAAUUGUUGUUGUUGGGGAAGUUUCGACGGAAAUGCCCAGUCCUUCCAUAUCCAUAGCAGGUGUGGCUUGGUCUUAUAUUGUUGCCGCCAUUGUCGGUGUUGUUGUUGCGGUUAUUGUUGUUGUUGUCUCCCUGUUGUUGGUUCUGAGGAGGGUAGGUCCUGCAAUACUUGGUCGUGUGCCCCUUCCGAUUGCAACUGGUGCACUGCAUCUCUCUAGAUUCUCCAUUGUAAUGGAGACCUUACUUGUUGCACUUAGGAAGAUUACCGGAAUAAGGCCUAGGAGCACUUGGAGCAGUUGAGGCUGGAGCAUGUGGUAUGGUUGGAACUUGGGUGGUUGCAGCAUUAACUGCCAUUGUUUGCUGUUUCUUGGAUGAUUCGGAGCCUUGACGUCCCUUCCUCUUGUUGUUCUUUCCUUUUUUGUUGUCAUUUUCCUUCUUACCUUUAGCCUCCACUGGCUUCUCACCCUUCUUGUUGUCAUGGCCAUACAGCUUCUUGGCCAAUCUAUUGGCACUGUUGAAAGUUUCGAGAUUUGCAGCUAUCACGUUUCCUUGGAGCGGGGAGGUUAGUCCCCAAAUGAAUCGCUCGAUCUUCUUUCCUUCUGAGGUGAUCAUGCCAGGGCAUAGCAAAGACAGUUCGAUAAACCUUGAUAUGUAUGCAUCUAUAUCAGUGUUUUGGACGGUGAGAUUCCACAGCUCUUGUUCCAUUUUCUGAAUUUCGCCACGAGGGCAGUACUCGGCCAUCAGCAUUUGUUUCAUCACUGCCCAUGGCAUGGAAUUGGCUACGGGGAGUGUCAUGGCUUCCACGUGUCCGUUCCACCAUGUGAGUGCUUGGUUAACGAAAGUGCAUGCGGCAAACUUCACCUUCAUCUCCUCAAGGCAUUCACAUAUCUCGAACACCGAUUCCACCUUCUCGAUCCAUCGUUUCAAGGUAAUCAUUCGUCCAGUGCCGUUAAAGGUUCGUGGUUUGGCGUUGGUGAAGUCUUUGUAGGAGCAUGUUUUGGUAGGUCCUUGAUUUAUCCCGUUGAUGUGUGCAAACUCACUUAGUUUUAAACCUACUUUUAAUUAUCAAAUAACACACAAAAGGCAGUGAACCUAUCAAUUGUGGUAUAGCUAAAUAAGCAGGGUAUCGAACACAAGGAACGGCAAAUUAAACUAAAAACUAAUUUAAUCUAAGUUAAUUAAGAAGUAGGGGUUUUUCUCUAGUUUUACAAGAGUAGAAACUUACUAACUAUUACUAAUUUAAGACUAGAAAGUAACGACUUAACUAGAUUCAAUAAUUGGAAAGGAACUUCUGUUUAGUUUAACUUGGUUAACUCUAUGGUUGAUUUCAAGGUAAUGGUGCAAUGGAUUAAUUCUUUCGUUGGUUACCGAUUCAAGUGAUUAGAUUCGUAUUCACUACCCUAAUCCUUAGCAAAUAAACUAACUUAAACAGUGGCCAAUUGUCUAAUUUAAUUAAAUUCACUAGAUUAAUUAUUCGGGUGAAAUUAGACUUGCAAUAGUUAACUAAUUUAUUCUUUUAAUUAAGUUCUUGUUUGAUGGUCAUCUUACAAGCUUGCACAUGAAUUUACUAAAUUUUCUUAUUAAUUCUAGUUUCAUAUUCAUUAAUGCUAGACAUAUAGCAUAGUGAUCACAUAGCAUAUGAGGUCAAUAAUCAAUAGAUGUUCAUGCUAAUCAAUUAUCUUCCUAUUAACAGAAAAUUAAUUAUUAUUCACACACAAGGUUCUUUAGCAAGCUAAAAUAACAAAAAUUCACCAACUUGGAAUUAAUCCUACCAAUCAAUCAAACCAUAUUGUCAACUUUGUAUCCCCAAACAGAAGUCUAAAGGUUUUAGCUCAUAAUUAAAGUAAAUAACAGCAAACAAACAAAGUCAAGUUGCUUAAUCAUGAUGAAUAAACAAAAGAAUAAGUGGAAUGAUGAAAUUUUGCCUUAAUUACUCUCCGGAAUUGAAUUCUAGCUUCCUUCGUCGUCUUCUAGGGUUUUUCUGGCUUCUCAAUCGUAGCAAAAUACUUCUGAAUCGUCCCAGAACUCUCCUCAAUCUAUCUGCGGAAUUAUCUUUAAAUAUACGAAUCGACUUGUCGAGUCAAGUGGUGACUCGUCGAGUCCCUCUCACAUUCCCCGUAUUGUGAUAACUCUCUGGGAUCCCGAGUCAUUAUCUUCUCGAUUCUUCGAUUUGACUCGCCGAGUAGCCGAUCUGUAAUAGCCCGGAAUUUCAGUUAUUGUUAUAAUCAUGUUUUUGGGGUGUUUUUAGAGGGGAAUCGGCGAGUUGAAGCCUAGACUCGCCGAGUAGGAUCGCGUAUCUGGUCGCGGGUUCGCGACUGGACUCGAUGAGUCCGGAUAUGGACUCGGCGAGUCUGCGCUGUUUAGCGAAAACCCUAACCGUUUAGGUUUGGGACGUAUAUGAGGGACUUUAUGGCCGUCAUUGUUCACUCUAGCCUUCUGAGAGAAACCCUAAUUCGUUUGUGUGCAUCUGGAGCAAGGUUGAAGACCAUUGUUGAUUUUGGAAGAGUGGUUGUGCAAGGAAGAGAAGGCUUGGUUAAGGGAACAACAAGAGAAGUCACGUUCUGAGGAUUGGGGACACAGAGAGCACAUUAUUCAGGUAAUAAUUCGAGUUACAUUCUUCUAUGUUGAUGUGUAUAUGGAUUUAGGGUUUAUGGAACCCUUUUGUGGCUAGAUUGAAUGUUACCUUAGUCCCCCAAACGAUUGGAACCCUGUAUUGGGACCUUUGGAAGUCCAGAAUGUCCCAUGCCUGAGCAUUUCGGGAAUCAAUGGAGGUUUUGGAUUGGAAUCCUUAUGCCUUAGGUCAAAAUGUAAAUUAUGAGUCAUGGGGUGUAUUAUGAGCACCGAAGUGAGGACAUUACGUGAUGAAUCACUCUAGGAAGGCCAAACCCAUGAAUGGUCGGAGCAGUUCUGACCUUAGAAAGCAGUUUGAGCGGUUGCAUGGCAUGGACUCGCCGAGUCCGAUGAACAGACUCGGCGAGUAGCUUGAAGAUUAACUGGGACUCGUCGAGUUGUUCUUCAGACUCGGCGAGUUGAGUCGGGGUGGCCCCGCGAUUCUUCCAGGAGGAACUCGUCGAGUCAAGGAGGAUACUCGACGAGUAGAAAGGGAAUCUUAGAGAAUUGGUGAGGACGUCUAGACUCGCCGAGUCGCCCUAGCACUCGCCGAGUCAGGUCAAGUUGACCGUUGACCGUUGACCAGAGUUGACCUAUGUUUGACCUCUUAGGGAUAGUCAAACUUAGAAGAUAAAAGUGUUAAUAAGAGAUAUAUGAUGUUAUAGGGAGAUUGUAGCUCGGCGGAUCGAGCACGAGUGAUUUCGGGAUUUGCUAGCUUUCGAUAUUCACGAGGUGAGUCUUCUCACUAUACUGUACCCGGAAGGGUUUGACUGUGUGACCGGAAGGUCAGAUAUGAUAUGUGAUAUAUGUGCUAUAUGUGGUAAGUUAUUUGUUAUACGUGCUAUGUAUGUUAUGGGCCGGAAGGCGAUUAUAUUAUGGGCCGGAAGGCAUUAUGUUAUGGGCCGGAAGGCGAUUAUGUUAUGGGCCGGAAGGCGUUGUGUUAUGGACCGGAAGGUCGGCGUGGGUAGGACCGGAAGGUUUACCCAGCAGGGACGGAAGUCCCCUGAGACACAUGGACCGGAAGGUCAGGGCCUGGAAAGGCGUAUGCGCGUAAGUUGUAUAUUGGGGAACUCACUAAGCAUUUAUGCUUACAGUUGUUAUGUAUGUGUUUCAGGUACUAGCGAGGAUCGUGGGAAGGCGGCGGCGUGAUCUGUACACGCUGAUUGAUGUUUUGAGAUCUUGGGAAUUCUAGGAAUUGUAUUUUGACAUAACACUUGGAAUAAUUAUGCCUUGUUUGAAUGAAAAUACUUUAUUUUUGAAAUGAAAAGUUUGUUUGAAAAUUUGCGUUGUUACACGAUCUGACUCGCCGAGUAGAUGACAUUUUUAGUGUUUCUCUUCUUUUUUCCAUUCUCGAUCUUCUAACUGUUUCUCCCGCUUCCUUUCGCUUCCGAGCUUCAUCUUUGGACUGAAAAACAUAAUUUAACACUUUUAAGUACCUUUUGUCCAUAAUAUGCAAUAAUUUAGCUAAUAAAUGAGUAAAAAUGUAUACUUAAUAUGAACUAAUUAUGCACAUAUCAAAAUACCCCACACUUGUCUUUUGCUUGCCCCCAAGCAAAACUGAAUUUUAAACAUAUUAGAAUCAUAUAUAACAACUCCAAUCUAACCCAGCCAUUAUGCCAAGACCGCAACGCAUGCAUUUGUGUCUAAAAUUUUUCCUAAAGACCUCCCAUACUCCAAAUACUCACAAUCCUCAUAAACACUUGCCCACUCAUCCCGAACUAUGCUCAUUUUAUGCAACCCUCCGAAUCCAUCCACAGAAAACCUCUUACCCUCAAGGUGUUUUUAAUUGAGUAACCCGAGCAUACAUAUUCUAAAAUUACAACUUUUUGAUACCACUAUGGAGCUCUUUUGAAUUCAUCUCUUCUUUGAUAUUUGCUUUGAUCUCUUUGAAUUCACCACCUUUAUUGUUUGAUUUUCGGGUAUCUUCAAUUUUUUGGAUUUCUUGGAAUUUUGAUCUUUUGAUCUUCACUUUAAUUGCUCCAAAAUUCAUACAAUUUCUCUUUUAAUUCUCUUUUUUUUUAACAUGUACCUCAUUUUUUUCACUCAAAUCCCUACAUGCUUAAGCAGGGGCGCUCAAUCUCAACCUUUAUUGGCUAACGAUAACAAUCUUCCUGGAUACAUUUCAAGUUUAGGCUGCUAACCAUAUUGCAUCCCUCGGGCUGAGCAAGGUUGUGUUUUUGUCCCAUGAUUUCACUGGAAUAAGGAAGCCACAAAUGCACUAGAACGUAUACAGGCUCAACUAACAUUUGGGUUAUCAUGCAAUUAUCAACACAACUCUAACAUGGAGUCCUAAUUACUUUUACCAAAAUUUUCUAAAUUAAAUCCUAAGUAAUACUUUUGGUAUGCAAAAUUUUAAAAUUAACCUAAAUUAAGAUUCUAAAUUUUCUAAUAUGUAACCAACCCCCUACCCCACACUUAUUUGAUGCAAUGCCCUCAUUGCACAUUAUGCAUAAUAAAAACAUAAAAAGAAACUAAAGAGGGAAUUGGAACAAACUCCCCUGGGAUAGCAGUGGAUAGGUUGAUCACUUUCAUUUUAGCUCCAACUUCAAUUGACUUUAGACAUGGUAACAUCUCAUCCAUGCCUUGGGUGUCUCGUCUCGUGUGGGUCGCUCCAAAUACGCGGAAAACAGUGUAAGAUCUUCAAGAAUCAAUAUGGAAAGAAUAAGUAGUCAAGUGGUACUCUAAUUAGCAUCAAAUCAGCAGCCCCUUCGACAUGAAACCAAACGACUCGUCGAGUAUAUACCAGACUCGUCGAGUUACUUCGGGAAAUCUUUGGAUUUUUUAGAAUUAAGGGCGACUCGUCGAGUUAGUUUAGUAAAAUCGACGAGUUGGUCACUGAAUGAAAAUUAUAGAACUCUGCAUCUGAUCCAACUUCCAAUAAACUCUCUAUACUUUCUAUUCACUUCUAGACUUCCUUGCCAACAUCUCUAAGGACCGGACUCAAUACUUUAACUCUAACGCUCAUUUUUCUUGACUCUCUUUCUCACUUGGAUUCUAUAACCCUAAACCCUUUUUAAAGCUAGCACUCGUAAUUCAAUUCUGAAAAAUUGUCAAAACAUCAAACAUCAAUUAAACAUCAAAAGCAAGUUUUAAAAACAUCGAACAAACCAAAUAAAACAAACAAACACAAAAUUAAAAAUUGUUCAAUAAAAAUGCAUAAAAACAUCAAUCCUCCUCCUCAUCAUCAUCAAGCCCUACUCCACUUCCUCCUACCCCACUUCUUCUUGCACUUAUCACUUCUUCCCAUGAUGGAAUAUAUGGAAAGUUACCACCAUCGAUGUGUGGAAUGUUAAAGUAGUCAAAAAGUCGGAUAUGAGAUUGGUUGCUAAAAUUCAAGCCCCGCGCCAUUUGAUCCUGUAGUCGCCUCAUCUCCACAUUGUACCAAUCCAUUAGUACUUUGUCAUUCUCAACCGGAAUCACCGGUGCCUCCUCCUCAAUAUCCCGCUCUCUCCUCGAACGAACCCUCCUCCCCGGUGCUUCGGGACCAACAACCGGAUCAUCAUUCGGGAUGGCAUAAUGGCCACAACCAUAAUCUUCAAUAAUCCUCGCUCUCUGGAAAAGAAUUGGAUUGAACGGAGGUGUAGGGAUCAUCGUCAUGAAGUUCCAUGCACCGCGGUUCAUCAACCCAAAUGAAUUAGCUAACCGGGUGACAAACAUCUCACCAUUAAUUCGGGAAGUUUUGCGAUCCUUGACCGCACCCUCCGAGAGAUAUGAAGCUAGACACCAAGGAAUGUUGCAAAAAACGUCGGGUGUAAUGAUGCUCCAUAAAUAGAAGACGUCAAGGUUGGAAACCUUGUAUCAUCCUUUCGUUGAUUGAUGGUGGAUGAAAUGAGGUGGUGUGUUUAGGAUCGAAUGCUCCCUUCCUGUGUCGACUUUGGAAUAUAGAGUUUGUUACCAAUUGUAUUCCACCAGCCCAUACUCGUAACUCCUUCGGGAAACACCAUAUGGGUUUGUGCCAAAAAGGCCCGAAAGAUGGGUGUUGAGACCAAGGGCUGAUCAUAAACCCAUAAUCAACAGGCAAGAUCCACCACAGAGCAUUGAUGAAACUCUCCCCCAAGACAAAAACUGAAGUUGGAUGGGUGAUAAGCAUCCACUCCCCCGGUGAAAGAUACCAUGGAGAAAAACUCCAAACAAAGCUCCAAAUAAACCGGCUCUUGAAUACGGAAAACCCGGCUCCACCCGUCACAAAUCAUUGUUUCGCCUUCAUGGUGAAACUCCUUCAAAAGAUAAGGAGCUAACUCCUCCUCAUAACGAACAUUCUGCAGCCAAUCCCAAUCUAUCCGGUUGGGCACAUAGACCUCUUUCUUCUUGAUAUCAGCCAGCUUCUUCUUCCAUUUCCGCAAUGUCGAAGCGGACUCGAUUUGUGGGAAGUUUAGCCAUGGAAAAUCCCCUUGGUUGCCACUGGAACUUUGCCCCCUUCUGAACAUGGUUUCUGCAAAACAAAUACCCAAAACCCAGAAAACACAAAAUAUAAUUAAAAAAAAACAUCUCGUAUAUGUUUCCCGACUCGACUCGUCGAGUCCAGGCACGACUCGGCGAGUCGCGCGAACUGCACGAGUCAGUCGGCGGGUCGAUGGAAAUUGAACCAUGAAACCUGGAAAUUUCGUCAAGGGUUUUGUCUAGGCACUUACUAUUAAGGUACUAAGGCCAGAAUACGCAGUCAAAACAACAUAAUUCAUAAAAAAUCAAAACCCUAGAAAUUUACUACUUUUCAAAAAUGGGUUUUUCAUGCAAUUGCUACCAUAGAUGGCCUUAUAAUCACGUUCUUAACAGAAAACAAGAAGAAAUUUGUUACCUUUUGAGAUUGAACUUGAGAAAUUUGAAGAAAACUUGAAGAACAAAGAUGAACGCUUGAGAGAAAGUUUAGAGAGAGGCGCCCGACGAGUGUGUAUGUGAAAAACUGAUUCUUAGGGAUAAAACCCUAGUUACCGGUUGUAAAAGUAAUUUCGAAAUUAUUUUUUUUUCUGUAAAUAAUACCGACUCGUCGAGUCGUGGUCAGACUCAGCGAGUCUGGUCGCGAAGUCAAACUUUUUCAUAAUUUUCAAAAAUUUUUUAUUUAUUUAAAAUCAUUUCACCCCACACUUAACCUAUGCACACUCUCAGGUAGACAUGUCCGAUGAUUUGGAAGAUUAAAAUUCUAAAAACGAGGGAAAAAUAAAAAAAAAAACUAAAAAGUAAAAGAAAGCAAACUCUAUAUAACGGGUUGCCUCCCGCCAAGUGCUUCUUUUUAAGGAGUCAUUAGCUAGACUUCUUCCCAUCUACGUUUCGUCAUCUCCGAGCACCGAGAACACACGCCUAACUUUUUGUGAUUUGUACUUGGUCUUGUAAGCGUGAAUCUUCUUCUUGUAAGCCCUUUUCAAUGCAUCUCUUUUCCUUUUCACAGCCUCAUCCUCAGCUGCUUGGGCUUCCCUUUUUCUCUUUUUCUUCUUUAUCCCAUUGUUUUUCACCUUCUCUUGCACCUCCUUCUCUUUGAAUUUAAUUACUUCACAUUUCAUGAUGGUUCGUGCUUUAGGUUUAGUAGCGAAUGGUUGAUCAGCUUCCACCCCCCUUUCCUUUGUCUCUUCAUCCCUUCCAGUGCUCAACCCAUCUUCAAACGGAAUUGUAUCAAGACAUGCUACAUCGGCAUAUUGAACUUUCCUUCCCUUUCCUCUUUCUGUUGUUUGUUCUUCUAAAGAAUCAUGAAUAAUAUCUAAAUUCGAGGUAUGUGAAGAACUAGUAACAAGCAGAUUUAAGUCGGCCAAGUCUUUGUCCAAUUCGACUGAACUCGUCGAGUCCAUUAAAGUGACUCAGCGAGUCUGAUCGGGUUUCAUUACUUCUUGGGUGUUUUCUGAGUUGGCUCCUUCCAGUAGCUUUUGUAACUCUUCCAAGUCCUUGUUAACAUCCACAUCUUCUUCAGAGUGUAUCAAAAACUUGCUCGGAUCAUCUUUUAGCAAAAGUUCAAGCUCUCUUUGUAAUAUCUCAUCAUCCAAUUGGAUAAUUGAGAUUUCUUCAUUCUUUUCCUCUUCUUUCUUGGCUUCUAGAACAGCUUUAAACAUUAUAGAUUCAUCACCCACCAUCAAUGUCAAUGUAGACUCACAUAUAUCAAUCAAAGCACACACGGUGUUCAAGAAUGAUCUCCCCAAAAUAAUUGGAAUUUCGGGGUCUUCUUUCAUAUCAACUACCACGAAGUCUACUGGGAAAAUAAAGUUGUCAAAUUUUAUUAGGAGAUCCUCACAAACGCCUUGUGGAUGAAUUAUCGUCUUGUCCGCCAAAUGGAUCUUCAUAUUCACCGGCCUUGGUUCUGGUAAAUUCAACUUCUUAAAGAAUGACAAAGGCAUCAAAUUGAUGCUUGCCCCCGAAUCGGCUAAUGCUCGGGUGAAAACUUCAUUACCAAAUUGGCACGGAAUCACCAUAUUUCCCGGAUCACCCUUCUUUUCAGGUAGCUCACUCAUCAAUAUUUCCGCAACUUCAGCCAAACCUUUCCUAGCAGCAGAAAGGCCCUUAAGCAUGUUGAAGUACUUAGGAGUUUGUAGCAUUGUUUCCACAAAUGGUACAUUAACUUGUAAAGCUUUAACAUGCAUCAUGAAGGUUCUGUAUGCUUCUACUUUUUCUGCAGGCAUGGCUUUGAUUGGGUAUGGCAGAGGGGGAUUAUAAGGCUUCAAGGAACUAACAGGUUUCUCAUUUACGCAUGGACUCGUCGAGUCCAUUGGAGUGACUCGGCGAGUCGGAUCGGGUUUUGCUGGGUCCGAUUCUUUUACCUUUUCUGCCUUCUUCUUGGAGAUUGAUAGUGCUUCUGUAACUGUUUCUUCACUGCUGGAGGUUAUUACACUUACAUUCUCCAUUCUUGGAUUGGGUUCGGUGUUGCUCGAAAGUUGACCCGGUCUUCUAUCAUUCACUUGAUGUGCAAGCUGCCCCAGCUGUUUCUCAAUGUUGAGAAUCGAUGCUUGCUGAUUCCUAAGCAUGUUUCUGGUCUCGUGUAUGGCAGCAUCGUGAUCAUUGUGUCUUUUUUCGGACGCGGCUAUGAAUCUAGUGAAUAACUCUUCUAAAUCGGCUUUCUUUUCUACCGGUUCUUCCUUUUGGUAUAGUCCCCUCUCCUUCUGCUUGUAUUUCUCCUCCUUUGCCUUCUUAUACUCCUCGUAUGGUAGCCAAUCCUUCUUAGGUUUCCGCCAAUUUUCAUCAUAUCGAUCACCACUUGAAUAAAAGACUUGAGCUUUCUUAUUUCCAUUCUCAUCCAAAUCACAAUCCUUUGUGAGAUGGGGCCCUCUACAAUUUUCGCAUCCUACCCUAAUAGCAUGGAUUGCUUGAUCCAUUUUUGUCAUUCUUCGAUCUAGACUAUCAAGCUUUGCUAUCACCGCCGCCAUGCUAUCAUUUUCCGCGUUUACUACCCCUUGAAUUACUUCGUUUCUCGGAUUGCGGUAUUCUCUAGAGUGCGUAGAGAAUUCUUCAAUUAAUUCUUUAAUUACCGGGGUCGCCUUCUUUGUGAGCGGGCCUUGAGAAUCAAGUAAUUGCCUUGUGGUGACAUUGACUCCAUCAUAGAAAAUGGAGACCUCUUGUUGGCUAUUAAGGUCAUGGUGUGGGCAAUUUCUAAGUAGGCUCUUGUACCUUUCCCAAGCUUCAUAAAGAGAUUCUCCGGGUUGUUGCUCGAAGUUGGCAAUGGCUUUCUUUAGCUUGGCUAUCUUGGAGGGCGGGCAGAAAUGGUCUAUGAACUCUUCUUUCAUCUUGGCCCAUGUGGUGACCGAUCCGGGAGGAAGUGACUUUAACCAAUCUUUUGCAGCUCCUUCAAAUGUGACAGGAAGCAUGCGAAGAAGCUGGGUCUCGCGUGGAACAUUCGGGACAUUGAAGUAAUCGGCCACAUCAUUCACUUUGACAAAGUGCUUGUAAGCGUCUUCAUGAUCCUUCCCGUAAAAAGGAAUCUCCUUGAGUUGGGCGAGAAUAUGGCCUUUCAGUUCGAAAUUUGUUGUUGCGGGAAUUGCGGGUUGCACAAGUCCCGGCCCGGUGUCAUCACGCAUCCUUUUCUUCCAUUCCCCCAUGGGGACUUCAUCAAUGUUAGCCAUUGUGAUAGCUAACUCUUCUUUGGAAUCAGUUUCGUGCUCGUAAGUAUGCUCUUCUUCUUCCUCUGUCUCGUACUCGAUAUCUUCUUGAAUUGGUUCUUCAAUUGUCAACGAGGCACUGAAUGCUCCUAAUUUGUUGCUCUUCUUCUUGCUGAAAACGAAUUUUAAGUUUUUGAGUGGUGAGUUCUUUGAAGAUGUGGUUUCUCCAACGGCUUUUCCUUUGCUUCUUCUUAAUGCGGAUUCCGGGUCUUCCAAAGGAGGGACCAGAGGUGUAUCAGAUCCUCGGGUCAUGAAACAACUGUAAACAAACAAAACAAAAGAAACAAAACGCGUAAAAAGAACAAAAACGGAAUAAAAAAAUUAAAGCUAAAACAGCGAUGUACUCGCCGAGUUGGCACGAAUGCACUCAGCGAGUUCAAAGCAAAACCUGAAAAGAAAUUUCUAGUUAUCCUAAAAAUAGAAUUUUAUUUAAACUAAUUGUACUUACUAAAUUACUUUGUAAAUAACUUUGUAAAUAACUUUGUGCAAGAUAAAUCCCACACAAAGGAUCGAUUAAACUAGAAUUUAAUACUAAUUUUAGAACCACUCCCCAGCAACGGCGCCAAAAACUUGAUGCGUGCAAACUCACAUAGUUUUAAAUCUACUUUUAAUUAUCAAAUAACACACAAAAGGUAGUGAACCUAUCAAUUGUGGUAUAGCUAAAUAAGCAGGGAAUCGAACACAGGGAACGGCAAAUUAAACUAAAAACUAAUUUAAUCUAAGUUAAUUAAGAAGUAGGGGUUUUUCUCUAGUUUUACAAGACUAGAAACUUACUAACUAUUACUAAUUUAAGACUAGAAAAUAACGACUUAACUAGAUUCAAUAAUUGGAAAGGAACUUCUGUUUAGUUCAACUUGGUUAACUCUAUGGUUGAUUUCAAGGUAAUGGUGCAAUGGAUUAAUUCUUUCGUUGGUUACCGAUUCAAGUGAUUAGAUUCGUAUUCACUACCCUAAUCCUUAGCAAAUAAACUAACUUAAACAGUGGCCAAUUGUCUAAUUUAAUUAUAUUCACUAGAUUAAUUAUUCGGGUUAAGUUAGACUUGCAAUAGUUAACUAAUUUAUUCUUUUAAUUAACUUCUUGUUUGAUGGUCAUCUUACAAGCUUGCACAUGAAUUUACUCAAUUUUCUUAUUAAUUCUAGUUUCAUAUUCAUUAAUCCUAGACAUAUAGCAUAGUGAUCACAUAGCAUAUGAGGUCAAUAAUCAAUAGAUGUUCAUGCUAAUCAAUUAUCUUCCUAUUAACAGAAAAUUAAUUAUUAUUCACACACAAGGUUCUUUAGCAAGCUAAAAUAACAAAAAUUCACCAACUUGGAAUUAAUCCUACCAAUCAAUCAAACCAUAUUGUCAACUUUGUAUUCCCAAACAGAAGUCUAAAGGUUUUAGCUCAUAAUUAAAGUAAAUAACAGCAAACAAACAAAGUUAAGUUGCUUAAUCAUGAUGAUAAAACAAAAGAAUAAGUGGAAUGAUGAAAUUUUGCCUUAAUUACUCUCCGAAAUUGAAUUCUAGCUUCCUUCGUCGUCUUCUAGGGUUUUUCUGGCUUCUCAAUCGUAGCAAAAUACUUCUGAAUCGUCCCAGAACUCUCCUCAAUCGAUCUACGAAUUAUCUUUAAAUAUACGAAUCGACUCGUCGAGUCAAGUGGUGACUCAUCGAGUCCCUCUCACAUUCCCCGUAUUGUGAUAACUCUCUGGGAUCCCGAGUCAUUAUCUUCUCGAUUCUUCGAUUGGACUCGCCGAGUAGCCGAUCUGACUCGCCGAGUAGAUGACAUUUUUAGUGUUUCUCUUCUUUUUUCCAUUCUCGAUCUUCUAACUGUUUCUCCCGCUUCCUUUCGCUUCCGAGCUUCAUCUUUGGACUGAAAAACAUAAUUUAACACUUUUGAGUACCUUUUGUCCAUAAUAUGCAAUAAUUAAGCUAAUAAAUGAAUAAAAAUGUAUACUUAAUAUGAACUAAUUAUGCACAUAUCACCCGUUGUUUGAACUUCCAGCCCCUUGUCCGUUGACUCCUCCAUUGUUCCCUUGGUGAAUUUGUGCCAUAGCCGCGGUGACUGCAGCAGAUACCGCUUCCUGAAAAGCAACAGAGUUGAACUCAGGCGGGUUUGGCUCAGGGUUUCUGCAGGUUGGUCGUCAAGGCAUCUUUCUGCCAUGGAACGGAAAGAUGUUGAGUGUCUGUGCUUUUUGUGAGAUUGUGAUCCUAUAAACUAGGUGUGGCACAAACUUAAGUAAUUUCACAAAUUAGCACACAAUCAUGGAUAUGUAACACAUAGCAGAUUAAAACGUCACAGUAAACAUAUAAAAGUCUUCAUUAAUAUUAUCCGCACUUUGAUACAUGAAAACUUUGCUCGAAAGAGCAUACAUAAACGAUACUAGUUCGGCAGCAUAACGGCUCUAUGAGUAGUGUAAUCACUUAAACAUAGAUUUGAUGGCACAUAGCAUAGAUCAUAGUACUAGUAAGAUAAUUCUAUUCCUAACACUCUAUGGAGCUAUGACAGUAGCGAGAUCAUAUGCCGAAGUGUUGAGCUAACAACUGAGCCAUCUCACUCAUUUCUCCAAUGACCUCAUCCCUUUCAUGCUUAGCUCGCACUACGCGUGCUUCCAUGGCGAAUAGUUGUCGCCGUAGGGCGGCAAUCUCAGCUUUGGGGGAGAGAUUCUCCCUUGUGGGAUUCACUGGUGGGGCGGGGUGGUCCUGUUGCGCCUCGCUGACAGGUGGUGUGGCGAAGUCCUCGCCUAAGUCUUGUCCUUCCUCCCUGUCAUCAUCGGCCUCAUCGAACUCGUAGUCAGUGUCCGUGUACUCGUCAGGCCCAAUGUCAUGUGCUCCCCUUUGAUCUCCUUCAAGCUCAUCUUCAAUCAUCCUGUGAGCCACUAAGACCUGAUGAAACAGAAUGCCCUGCUGCUCCCCUUCCAUAGCGACUGAGAGGAGGUAUACGAAUAAACUAUCAUUACUCCUAGGAUGCUACAAUUAUUGUAUAGAUUGAGCUGAUGUUCUCUUCUUGGUGAUAAAGGGGGUAUGUUUUUAGCUUCCCUAGCCAUCACGAUUUCCUCGGGACAUGUGAUAGUUGUGCCUUGGAGGAAAUGUUGUUGAUCAGGCUACAUCAACUCCUUGAUACGACUAUGAAUGGUCCUGGCUUAACCGAGAUGCUAGCAUUAUCUUGCUUGGUUCGGUAUUAUGUUCUUUUUCCUAAUUCACACAAGCAAAGAUGUUUUAUCAUUGUGUUUUACUUAUUUUGUUCAGAGUUGUGUUAGUCCCUCUUUUUGGUUUAUAGUUGCAUAUCAAUGUGUGGUUAGAUAUGCUAGUUCACUAUAAACAGAGUUCUGAUACCAACCUGUCACACCCCCGAACCAGACGGCGGAACGUCCGAGGGCUCUUGUGACUUAAAUUAAAUACCAUCACAAUGAAUAUACAUGAAUCUUAACAUAAAUCAUCACCAUGCAUUAAAAUAAUACAACUGAUAUUGUUUACAUCCAGUACGUUGUUUUGAACAUUUCGAAUUCAUAAAAUAGAUUAUCUGAUAGAUAUAAUAAGCAAAACACCCAGACGUUACUUGGUACUUAUUCUUCGGUUUACCUGUUACCUGAGAAUACAAGUUAAUUUGAAAAACGUCAACAUCUGAAAUGUUGGUGAGUUCAUAAGCAAUGUUGUGAUAAAAUGAUUUGUUGUAGUUUGUAAAACCCAAAAAAUCCGAUAUUCUCUGAAAAGAUCAUUGUUUAUAAAAUAAAAGUGUGAAGAUCCGUAAAUAUAUGUUUGUUGAUUUUCAAAACAUGUAUAAAUGUUGAACUUUAGUGUUAAUCGCGCAAGUGAAGAUGUUGAACUUCCUAGGAAAACCCGAUGUUUUCUCAAUACAUAAAUUACAGUGAUUUCUCAAUUGUUAUACCGUCACGACGAAUGAUGUUGAUUACUCGGGUGGCGUUGGAUUAAUUUAGGUUUGUGAGUUGUUAUAACCACGCAUUAAAAAAUGACUAGUUUAUAACUACAGAUUUCGAACGAUCCUUAAAGGCAUCGCCGGUUACUACUCAGUUAAUCCACAACCAUGAUUACUCUUGAUUAACGUCCUGAAUUUGUUUAUCUUGAUUACUCGUAAGCCUAACAAACAAGGAAAAGGGGGAGUACGAAGUCCCAUUAUUUCAGUGAGUUAUUUUAGGCUGUCGGGGAUGCGAAAGGCACAUUGGCACAACUCGCACUUGACUUCUUGACCUCAUUAGCAACACUAAUGGGCCACUAGGUCCCAAUAGCACAUUAGAACCGUUGAAGUCCUUGUACAUGAAAUCGGGUCAUAGGAGGCCUAAUAGCACAUAAGCAUAUUCCCUUUGGGCCCAAAGAUCAUGUUAAUGCGCUAGCAAGGCCCAACAAGCAUGAUUUGUGUAACAGCUCAAAUUUUCAAAUAAAUUUUUCGUUAAAAAUAAAACAUCAUUAUUCGACAAAAGGGUUUAUUCCAAGUUUAUUUCAAAAUAAAAAUAAAAAUAAUAAAUCUCCAGGAUCUCCAACAGUGGCAGUGUGUACGUGUCACGCCGGCGCCUUCCCACGGUCAUCACUAGUACCUGAAAAACAUAAACACAACUAGUAAGCAUAAAUGCUUAGUGAGUUCCCCAGUAUACGACUUACCCACAUACGCCUUCCGGCCCGGACCUUUCGGACCACAUAAUAUUGCCUUCCGGCCCGGACCUUGCGGUCCACAUAACAUUGCCUUCCGGCCCGGAUCUUUCGAUCCACAUAACAUUGCCUUCCGGCCCGGAUCUUUCGAUCCACAUAACAUAUAUCGCAUAUAAGCACACAUCACAUAUAAAGCAUCUACCUCUCUAGACAUAGCAUGAAUAUAACACACACGACCUUCCGGUCUAACAGUCAAACCCUUCCGGGUGAAGUAUAGUGAGAAGACUCACCUCGUAGUACGCAGGCUAUAACCUCUUCGAGCUACUCGCACACAAUCCGCUAGUCCGCAGGUUCCCUAUAAUACCACAGCCUUAGUUAAUGAUCUUAUCAAACAAGACAACUGACCCCUCUAAGAUAUAUACAGGUCAACGGUCAAUCUUGACCGGACUCGUCGAGUGCAAAGGGUAACUCGACGAGUAUAGACAUCCUGACACCACUCGCCGAGUCUGAAGAACGACUCGACGAGUUCCAGUAGAUCUUCAAGCUACUCGCCGAGUCUGAAGAACAACUCGACGAGUCCUAGUGAACCUUCAAGCUACUCGCCGAGUCUGAAGAACAACUCGGCGAGUUCUAGUGAAUCUUCAAGCUACUCGCCGAGUCUGAUCAUUGGACUCGGCGAGUCCUCGCCAUGCAGUCAAUCCGCUGCCUCCUGUAUUUCGCAUGAUUUCGAAGUAUAUAGAUAUAGGGCUUCCUGGACUUUCACAUAUACUAUUACGGGGUUUUUUAACACUUAUAACAACAAUAUAAUCUAACUAACCCUUAAUUGGGUUUCCUAAACCCUAAACUCGCAUACAACGUAAAAGUUACAGAUUUCGAUCCGAAGAUUACCUGGAAACGUGUUCCCUGUGUCUCCAAACCUCCAGUACUCGAUUCCUUUGAUCACCACCUUGCUCCUCCUUGUCUAACAAUCUCUUCAAGCCUUCUCAAGUCCUCUCUCUUGCUUCAGAUGCUCACACACUCCCAGGGGAUCUUCAACCGGCCAAAAGACGCGACAUGACGGCCAUAAGAUCGUUAUAUACGAUCAGAAAUGAAACGGCUAGGGUUCAGCUGAACGGCGUCGACUCGCCGAGUCCCUUAUUGGACUCGUCGAGUCCAGUCGCGCGUCUGCGACCAAGACCAUGGCCCUACUCGGCGAGUCGUGCACCAACUCGCCGAGUCCCCUCCUAAAUGUGCCCCAAAAAUAAUUUAAAGAAAUACCUGAAAUUCCGGGCUGUUACAACUCUCCCCCACUAGAACUAGACUUCGCCCUCGAAGUCUCUCAUUCUGCGAAUAACUCCGGAUGUUGCUCCCGCAUUUCUCUUUCCGGCUCCCAAGUCAUCUCCGAUCCCUUCCGAUGUUGCCACUGAACCAACACCAGAGGUAUUUCCUUGUUCCGUAGAACCUUGAUCUUCCGAUCCCUGAUAGCUACUGGUCUCUCGGCGUAAUUCAGACUCGCAUCUACCUGGAUAUCUUCUAACGGAACCACUGCUGCCUCAUCGGCUAUACACUUCCUCAGCUGUGAUACGUGGAAGGUAUUGUGAAUCUGAUUCAGCUCCGCUGGCAACUCCAACCGAUAAGCUACCCGACCUACCCUUGCAAUUACCCGAAAUGGACCUAUGAACCGGGGCCCCAAUUUGCCCCUCUUCCUGAACCGAAUCACCCCUUUCCAAGGAGAAACCUUUAGGAGAACGAAGUCGCCGACCUGGAAUUCGAGCUCGGACCGGCGUCUGUCCGCAUAACUCUUCUGUCGGCUCUGGGCGGUCAAUAACCUCUGCCUCACCCGUUGGAUCUGUUCAGUCGUUUGAAGUACGAUCUCUGUACUGCCCAUCACUCUCUGUCCCACUUCUCCCCAGCAAAUGGGAGUCCGACACCUCCUACCAUACAACAACUCAAAAGGUGGCAUACCAAUGCUCGAAUGAUGGCUGUUGUUGUAGGAAAACUCAGCCAGCGGCAGAUGCGCAUCCCAGCUACCCCCGAAGUCUAACACACACGCUCUAAGCAUAUCUUCCAAUGUCUGGAUCGUCCGCUCGCUUUGACCGUCGGUCUGGGGAUGGUAUGCGGUACUAAAAUGCAGUUUAGUACCCAACUCCUCAUGGAAUUUCUUCCAGAACCUGGAAGUGAAACGUACAUCGCGGUCCGAAACAAUCGAGGUCGGCACUCCAUGCCGAGAUACUAUCUCUCUCACGUACAACUCCGCCAACUUCUCUGCUGAUGAACUUUCACUAAUGGCAAGGAAAUGUGCACUCUUUGUUAGUCUAUCCACAAUCACCCAAAUCGCAUCGACUCCCCUGGCAGUUUUCGGCAAUUUGGUGAUGAAAUCCAUCGUGAUCUGAUCCCACUUCCACUCAGGGAUCUCCAAGGGUUGCAACUUACCGUGCGGUCUCUGGUGCUCGGCCUUAACUUUACGGCAGGUCAAACACCUCUCCACGAACCACGCAACGUCUCUCUUCAUGCAAGGCCACCAGUACUCCUUUUUCAAAUCCAGAUACAUUUUCGUAGCACCGGGAUGGAUCGAGAAUUUCGAUCUAUGUGCCUCCUCCAUCAAAAUGACACGCGUACCGCCCACGAAUGGCACCCAGAUCCGACCCUGAAAUGUCAGAAGUCCCCGCCCAUCCGUAACGAACUCUGAAAUUAACCCGACGACCCGCUCCUGUUUCUGCAUCCCAGACUUCACAACCUCGGCCUGUGCCCCACGAAUAGUAUCUAAUACCGGAGUCACCACCGUCAAUCUCAAACAUACGUCCCGCAAUGGAGUACCCUCCGCCCUACGACUCAAUGCAUCGGCUACCACAUUAGCCUUGCCUGGGUGGUAUAGGAUCUCACAGUCAUAAUCCUUAACCACGUCUAACCAUCUCCUCUGGCGCAUGUUUAGGUUGGGUUGAUCCAUCAAAUACUUCAAACUCUUAUGGUCCGUGUAUAUGGUACAACGAACCCCGUACAGGUAGUGACGCCAAAUUUUGAGGGCGAACACUACUGCCCCCAACUCUAAGUCAUGCGUGGGAUAUCUCGCUUCGUGAGGCUUCAGCUGCCUCGAUGCAUAGGCUAUCACAUGGCCCCUCUGCAUCAACACUGCACCCAGUCCUGAAAUCGAUGCGUCGCAAUAUACGACGAAGUCCUCCAUCCCUUCAGGAAGGGCUAAUACUGGUGCUUCGCACAGUCUCUGACGAAGUGUCUCGAAGGAAGUCUGCUGCUCGGGUCCCCAUGAGAAUGUAACACCCUUUCGGGUCAAUUUGGUAAGUGGCACUGCGAUCUUGGAGAAGUCCCUAAUGAACCUUCGAUAGUACCCUGCCAACCCAAGGAAACUCCUGAUCUCCGAAGGUGACUUUGGUGCCUCCCAUCUCAUCACCGCCUCCACCUUGGCCGGAUCGACCAAUAUCCCUGCCUGAUUUACAACGUGCCCCAGAAAUUGAACCUCCCGUAACCAGAAGUCACAUUUGGAGAAUUUUGCAUAUAGCUUCUCCGACCUCAGUACCUCAAGGACCUCCCUCAAAUGUCCCUCAUGCUGCUCCCUAGACCGCGAAUACACCAGAAUGUCGUCGAUGAAUACAAUCACAGACCGAUCCAGCAUCGGCCUGCAUACCCUGUUCAUGAGAUCCAUGAACACUGCUGGGGCAUUGGUGAGCCCAAAAGGCAUCACCACGAACUCGUAAUGCCCAUACCGCGUCCUAAAGGCUGUCUUCUGGACGUCCUCAUCCCGCACCCUUACCUGAUGGUACCCUGAUCUCAAAUCAAUCUUGGAAAACCAAGAUGCCCCUUGCAACUGAUCGAAUAGAUCAUCGAUUCUUGGUAACGGAUAGCGGUUCUUAACUGUCACCUUGUUCAGUUCCCGGUAAUCGAUACACAUCCGGUGUGAACCAUCCUUCUUCUUGACGAACAGAAUCGGUGCUCCCCACGGCGAGCUACUCGGCCGAAUAAAUCCCUUCCCCAACAACUCUUGAAGUUGCGAGGACAAUUCUUGCAUCUCUGGAGGUGCAAGACGAUAAGGCACCUUCGCAAUAGGCGCCGCCCCUGGAACUAGGUCGAUACCAAACUCCACUUGCCUCGCAGGAGGUAUUCCCGGCAAAUCCUCGGGGAAAACAUCUGGAAACUCGCGCACCACUGGAACCUCCUUCAAUGUCUUCGGUCUCUCGGAACUCUCCCGCGUAUCCAUCACAUACGCCACAAAACCGUUACAUCCCCGCUGUAGGCAUUGCCUCGCCCUAGCAGCCGAACAAAAAGCUGAUCUCGAACGGGUACCCUCGCCGUACACCGUAAGAACUCCCCCACUAGGGUCUCGUAUAGUCACCAACUGACGCUCGCAGUCGAUGACAGCGCUGAAUCGGCUCAACCAGUCCAUGCCUACAAUGACACAGACAUCACCCAUCGCAAUAGGAAUUAGGUCAAUCGGAAAUGCGACCCCGAAGAUCUCUAGCACACAUCCCCGAAAAACCUCCGUAGCACAAAUCACCCUCUCAGCCGCAAUGGAAACGCUCAAAGGCCGACUUAACGGCUCACGACUAAUGCCGAUGUGCUGACUAAAAGCUAACGAUACAAACGAUCUACUCGCACCCGAAUCAAAUAAUACUAGAGCAGGCAUAGAGUUCACAAGGAAAGUACCUACACAUAUAUUAACAUAAGCAUAACAUUUCGACCUUUAAUUAAAUACAUGAAAGAUAACAUACCUGCCACAACAUCGGGCGCAGCGCGGACCUCCUCCGCAGUCAGCUGAAAGGCUCUCCCGCGAGCCCUCGGGGCCUCGACCUUCACCGGUCGGGUCUCAGUAGUCCGGGUAGUAGGUGUAGCUCCCUGACGAAGUUGCGGGCACUCGGCCUUCCGAUGGCCUGUCUGGUUGCAGUGAAAGCAAACCAUAAACCCCUUAGGGCAAUCCCUGGCAAUAUGUCCGUCCUUGCCACACUUGUAGCAACCACCAGCUCGACACGCCCCCUCGUGACUCUUGCCGCACUUCGCGCAAGUGCGACCCUUCGAACCUCCCAUCCUCGAAUCAGCGAACUUAGUCCGCUUGGCUGCCGGCUGAGACUGGGCCGGCCGUCGAUCCACCUGCCGAGACUCAGCCUCCUCCCUCGCUUGAGUCUCCAACUCAAUCUCGCGCUUCCUGGCGUUCGCCUGAAGCUCAGUGAAAGUACGAUAGGUGGAGUUUGACACAAACUCCCGAAUCUCCCUCUUCAAAACACCCAAAUAGCGGCUCAUCCGCGACUGCUCCGUAGAUACCAGCUCGGGGCAGAACAUUGCCCUCUCAUGAAACUUCCGUGUGAUCACUGCCACGGAAUCAGUACCCUGCUUAAGGGUCAAGAACUCCUGAAUCAAUCGCUCCCUCUCUACCGGGGGAACGUACUCAUCCCUGAACAUCUCUGUAAACCUCUCCCAUGUCACCGCCGAAAUCUCUGCCUGAGUGAAGUUCGCUGUCACGAACUUCCACCAAUCCUUCGCUCCCAGACGGAGCUGGUUCAAGGCGAACCGUACCCUCAAGUGCUCCGGGCAUGAGCAAGUAUAGAAACACCCCUCGAUGUCGGCGAUCCACCUCAUAGCUGCAAUCGGAUCCUGCGUCCCAUCAAAUUCAGGGGGUUUCGUGUUGCUGAAUUCCCUGAAUGGUAAUGAAUCACCCCCUUGCGGCCUGGCAGCAGCCACCGCUGCGGUAGCGGCAGCAACUGCAGCUUCAGAAAUUGCGGCGCACCGCUCCUCAAACUCCUCCAUCAACGUGGUCUUAAUAGACCCAAACAUCUCCGGGAUCUCAGCCCGGACCGCCGCAGCUACCUCUUCCUGAAUAAUCUGACGAAUCUCCUCGUCACUCGCACCGCUCGAACUCGCCCCAUUGCGUGUGAUAACCAUGAUGUCUCUGAAAUACAACAUAAAAUCAUCAGAGACUCCACCAAGUACAAUUGUACUCAAUACGCGCCCUACCCAGUCUCCGAUUUCCAGGGAUUCUUAUUUGAGUCUUCCACUGAUCCGGUGCCUUCGGUAGUACGGGCCCAAUACUACCGACCACACCGUAUCAGUAUUCGUCCCAAAUCUUCCUCCCCAAAUCCCGAAUAACGGGUACUCUACUUCUAGUAUGUACUAUUUACUUGCACGCUACCAAAUAUCUCAUAUAAGCAAUCUCCCUAGACUAAGGCAUCACAAAACAGGCAAUUCUAUUCCUAUCAUGUAUACCUAGUCUUCUAGCAUGCAUAACAAUUCAUAAUUCAGUGCAUAACAUAACAUCGUAAGGUAUUCUGGGGAUCUUUACCGUUCGGACGCUGGCUGCUCGUACACACUGUUCCACCCUUGUUUUUACCGCCUUGCCCUUUAUAAAAUGUUAUGUCCUUAUUAUUUUUAAGAAAAAGUUUUUCCUCAAAUCCCCGGUCUGAGUUCAGUUGCACCCAAAAGUACACCCGAAUCCCUCAAACCAAGGCUCUGAUACCAAUUGUAACAGCUCAAAUUUUCAAAUAAAUUUUUCGUUAAAAAUAAAACAUCAUUAUUCGACAAAAGGGUUUAUUCCAAGUUUAUUUCAAAAUAAAAAUAAUAAAUCUCCAGGAUCUCCAACAGUGGCAGUGUGUACGUGUCACGCCGGCGCCUUCCCACGGUCAUCACUAGUACCUGAAAAACAUAAACACAACUAGUAAGCAUAAAUGCUUAGUGAGUUCCCCAGUAUACGACUUACCCACAUACGCCUUCCGGCCCGGACCUUUCGGUCCACAUAAUAUUGCCUUCCGGCCCGGACCUUUCGGUCCACAUAACAUUGCCUUCCGGCCCGGAUCUUUCGAUCCACAUAACAUUGCCUUCCGGCCCGGAUCUUUCGAUCCACAAGAUAAUUGCCUUCCGGCCCAUACACAUAUAUAACACAUAAUACAAAUACUCUAACACAUAAAGCACAUAUAUCAUACCGUUCUUUCUAACACAUAAAGUCUCGCCUUCCGGCCCGUAUAAUCAUACAUCACAUAUAAGCACACAUCACAUAUAAAGCAUCUAUCUCUCUAGACAUAGCAUGAAUAUAACACACGCGACCUUCCGGUCUAACAGUCAAACCCUUCCGGGUGAAGUAUAGUGAGAAGACUCACCUCGUAGUACGCAGGCUAUAACCUCCUCGAGCUACUCGCACACAAUCCGCUAGUCCGCAGGUUCCCUAUAAUACCACAGCCCUAGUUAAUGAUCUUAUCAAACAAGACAACUGACCCCUCUAAGAUAUAUACAGGUCAACGGUCAAUCUUGACCGGACUCGUCGAGUACAAAGGGUAACUCGACGAGUAUAGACAUCCUGACACCACUCGCCGAGUCCGAAGAACGACUCGACGAGUUCCAGUAAGUCUUCAAGCUACUCGCCGAGUCUGAAGAACAACUCGGCGAGUCCUAGUGAAUCUUCAAGCUACUCGCCGAGUCUGAUCAUUGGACUCGGCGAGUCCUCGCCAUGCAGUCAACCAACUGCCUCCUGUAAUUCGCAUGAUUCCGUAAUAUAUAGAUAUGGGACUUCCUGGACCUUUACACAUACUAUUACUGGGAUUUAAACACUUGUAACAACUCUAUAAUCUAUCAAAUCCUUAAAUGGGUUUCCUAAACCCUAGAUUCGUGUACAACACCAAAACUACAGAAAUGAUCCGAGGAUUACCUGGAAAACGUGAUCCCUGCGUCCCCAACCUUCAGAGCUCAACCCCUUGAUCCUCCUUUGAUCACCACCUUGCCUCUCCUUGCCUAACAACCUCUUUAAGCUUCCACUAGCCUUCACCCUUGCUCCAGAUGCCCACAGUCGUUUAGGUUAUCUUCAAUCGGCCAAAAGACGAGACAUGACGGCCCUAAAGACAUUAUAUACGAUCCAGAAUCGAAACGGCUAGGGUUUCAGCUUGAACAGCGUCGACUCGCCGAGUCCCUAAUGGACUCGUCGAGUCCAGUCGCGAAUCUGUGACCAAGACCGUGGUCCUACUCGGCGAGUCAGGCAUCAACUCGCCGAGUCCCCCCUAAAUAUUCCCCAAAUUAAUUUAAAGUAAUACCUGAAAUUCCGGGCUGUUACAAUUUGAAACUUCCAAGCCGAAAGUUUUUAAAUUGGCUCAUCGUAGUUAUCGCGUAUUUAUUUAGGUGGUUUGGUUUAGUGCUUGUUGUUUUGUAUUGAUUCGAGACCGAAUCACUUCGUUUGUAACGAUAUUUGUCGUUGAAAGUGUAUUUGUUUUCCGUUUUGUUGGAAGUCGUGGAUCUUGUAUUUUGUAUUAAUGAAUUAAUUUGUUUAAAGGUGGAAUUUGACCUUUUCACUACCCUUCUUUUAUAAAAAUAACACUUUUGGUCCUAUAAUAUAAAAGAAUUUCAUUUUUAGUUCCUUAAAACAUUUUCUUGAUACUUUUGUAUCAUAAACUUGUUGAAAAGAUAGUUCUAACCCAAAAUUUAUUUUGUUGGCAGCUUCAGCCCUUCCAAAAUGGUGUUUCUCGGUUAGAACCCUAUUUUUCUUAACUUUUACAGUUUUGGCCCAAAAUCUAAAAACUUUGCAUUUUCGGUCCUUUUUCACAGUGAAAAGCAUUUUUGACCCUUAAAAUAUUUUGUUAUGCUAAUUAACCCCUGUUUUACAGAAAGUUUCAUUUCAGCCCCUUAAAUUUAUCAUUUUUCGCAUUUUGAAGCUUACUGGGCCGAAAAGCCCAAAAUUAGUCCAUUAAGCUAAAAAUUUACAUUUUAAGUCCCUUGAAAAUUCUAUUAUUCAGAAAAAUGAUUAUAGAAACUGUUUUUGACCCUUUUGACCCUCAAGAAACCGUGACUUGUCAAUUUGUAACCCAAGUGUUUUUUAUUUUUGACAAUUUAAGCCCUUGGUUUUAUGUUAGAAUAUGUUCAUCAUAACCUUAUAAGCUAUCAUUCUUGACUUGUUAGCUGUAAAAUUGCUUAGAUUAUGUUUGUUUCCUUUCUCAUGUCAUAAAUCUUGGGUUUACACCCCUUUUGUUAACAUAUUCAUCACAAAAACACAAGAAAUCACACACGUACAUGCAUAAAAUCACACAUAGCAUACACAUACACAUAGAUCUAUACAUUUUCUUGUAUUCUCCCGCAUAAAACUCAUGAAAAACAAAAAGAAAGGGGUAUGAAGCUCACCUUGAGUUGUGGUUUCGGUUUUGAAGAAGAUUGGGAGAAGUUUGGUCUUAUUUUCGGCCCUAGCAAGUUUCUUGGAUGGAUCUCGAACUUAGUGGGUUCUAAGAUGCAAGAUCAUGAAUUUGAAUGGAUUAAGAGAUGAUUUUUUGAUGAAAAGAAGUGAGUUAAAGCAUGGAUCAAACAUCAACGUACCUUAGGUUUGUGAUAUUAAGAAGAGAUUUCUUUGUAGCCCUUGUGAGUCUCGAAAUUUUUGAGGGAGAGUGUAAGGAUGUUCUAGUGAGAGUUUGAGAGAAUGAAGAUAAAUUUUGUGAGUGUGUGUGUGUGUGUUCGGCCGAGAGAAGAAGGGAGGGGAAGAGAGAGACCUUGAUGAGAUGUUUGCUUGGAAGUAUGAAUUGCAUGCAUGGAGACCCAACAAAUAAAAAUGAGGUGGCAUAAAAGUCAACUCUCCUUUCUUCAUGCUUUGAGGUUGGGCCGAGAAUUAGAGAAAGAGAAGGAAAUUUUUGGGCCUUUGGUUUUUAAUCCAUAUUAUGGCUUAAUUAGAUGAUUCUUGGCCCAAAAAAAUUCAAGAUAUGAUUUUUAUGGCUCAUUAGGGCUAAUUCGGUUAGUUAUGGCCCAAUGAGGUCCAUUAAAGUAUUUUAUUUCAUUCUAGGCCCAAUAUGGGCGAAAAUAUUAAAAUAAAUAAAAGUGGGUCCAAUUAGAGCCCAUUUAAGAGUUCUAAGUCCAAGAUAGUCAAAUUGGAAGCUUAUUGGCCCAUUGGGUCCUAUAAGGAAAUCCUAGUCCAGAAUGGACUUAAACCGGGAUUUCUAGGGUUUCCAAUUCUUUGUUGACUAUUUGCAGUGCUUGUAUGAAAUUUUUGAUUGAAUUUUGUUGUUAUUGAAUAAACAUCUUACAUGCUUUCACAUUGUUGGUUCACAUUUGUUAUCAUUGUUCCAUGUUUACAAGGCAUCGAAUUUCCUAGUUGUGACAGAAAACUACACCUUUUUGAGUCAGGGUGGUAAGGGGUUUUUUGCAGUACUGCAGAAGUUCUGUAUGAAUCUGCGGUAAUAGCCAACAAGGCCUAGGAAUUGGCGAAUUUUGGUCGGGGUCUUCGGUUUUGACCAAUUUUUGAUUGCCUUGAUUUUGGAAGGUUCAACAUGGAUUACCUCUUCACUGACCACGUGACCUAGGAAGUCCACCUUCCUAAUCGAAAACUCACACUUCGUGAACUUUGCGUAAAGUUUUUCUGCUCGUAGUGUCUCCGAGACUUGUCUCAGGUGUUGACCAUGUUCUUCUUUACUCAUUGAAUAAAUGAGUAUGUAAUCUAUGAAUACAAUCCCAAAUUUUUCUAGGAACGAACGACUUACCCGAUUCAUUAAGUCCAUGAACACAGCGGGUGCAUUGGUUAGCCCGAAAGGCAUCACUACAAAUUCGUAGUAACCGUAUCUUGUUUGGAAAGCCGUCUUAGGAAUAUAACCUUCUAGGUCUCGUAGCUGGUGAUAUCCCGAUCUCAGAUCGAUCUCUGAAAAGUAAUUUUCCCCCUGGAGUUGAUCGAACAAAUUGUCUAUUCGUGGCAAGGGAUACCGGUUUUGUUUAGCUCUCGGUAGUCGAUGCACAUUCGAACGAUCCAUCUUUCUUCUUCACGAAAAAAAAAUCAUGCUCCCCAAGGUGAGAAGCUUGGUCUGAUGAAUCCUUUGCUGAGCAGUUAGUUUAGUUGACUGGAUAAUUCUUGCAUCUUUGUCGGGGCUAAACGAUAUGAUGCUUUGGCUAUAGAGACGGCUCUAGGAUUUAAGUUGAUUCUGAAUUUGGCUUGUCUUGCAGGAGGUACUCCUGGUAGAUCUUCGGGAAAGACAUUGGGAAAAUCACAGACAUCAGGCACGCUCUUAAUGUCUUCUACUCCUCGCUUUACAUCCACAACGUGUGACAAGAAUGCAUGGUAUUCCUUGCAUAAAUAUUUUUGACCAUUGAUGCAAGAGAUGAUAUGAAGAUUUGUACUGGGUUUAUCACCAUAAAUAACAAGAUUUUCUCCAUUUGGCAGAUUAAGGCGAACGGCCUUUUCGUAACAUAAAAUGUGCGCUCGAUGAGAACUCAGCCAUCCCAUGCCUAUGAUAACGUCGGAACUUUUUAUUGAAACCGACAUGAGGUUGAUUGGAAACGAAUUUUUGUUUAGUGCGAGCGUACAAUUUAAGUAUAUUUCUUUAGCGCCUUCUGUCUUUCUGUUAGCCAUUUCUACUAUGAAUGUUUCGCUUAAGGACUGGGGUGUUUGUUUGAGUAGAUUCUUAAAAUUGUGACUUACGAAUAUCCUCUCCGCUCCACUAUCAAAUAGAAUGCAUGUAUAAGAGUUAUCGAGGAAAAACGUACCCGUAACCACCGUGGGAUCAAAAAUGGCUUCCUCUUGGCCCAUUGCGAAUACUCGGCCUCUUCCACUAGCAUUCCCAUUGUUCGCUUUCGAACAGUUCCUUCGGAAGUGCCCCGUUGCUCCACACUCAUAACAAGUACGACCUACUCCAACAUUUACGCCUGAAGCAGCCGGUUGAGUUGGUUCCUUGUAAAAGCGGACAAUGUGUCCCUUCUUGUUGCACUUAGUGUAAUACAUUUCACGGCAGGGUCCGUGGUGAUGAAAAUUGCAUCUAUUGCACUUCGGUAGGUUGCCGAUGUACGAAUUUGUUUGUGUGGGGGUGGUAGGAACAGUAACAACGUAAGCUGUCACUAAUUGUUGCCUCUUGGGGUUCUCUUGCGUGGCCUGCCACUUUCUCUUGUUCAAGGGUUUCCUUCAGUCCUCUACCUUCUUCGGUGGCUUAGAAACAAGUGUAAUAGUACCCUGCUUAACACCAUAAUAUAUGAAUCGUUGAGCCAAGCGUUUCGCGCUGUCAAACGUGAUUGGGUUAGAAGGCAGAACAUGCCCUUGAAUCUGGGAUGACAAUCCCCAAAUGUACCUCUCCACCUUCUUUUGUUCCGGGUUUACCAUACCUGGGCACAAGGCUGACAAAUCACUGAACCUGCUCGUGUAAGUGGCUACGUACGAUCCAAUAAUCCUUAGGUUCCAUAACUCCUGCUCUAACUUUUGGAUUUUUCCCCUCGGGCAGUAUUCUUCCAGCAUCAAGAUUUUGAGAUCUUCCCAGCUCAUGGCAUUAUCAACUAGGAGAGAUAGGACUUUCACAUGGCCCUUCCACCAGGUGAGGGCUUGAUCAGAGAAAGUGCAAACAGCGAAAUUAACUUUUCUUGUUUUCGGGCAUGCACAGAUAUCGAAGACCAUUUCGGUCUUCUCGAACCAUUACAUAAGUGCAGUGACUCCUCCUACCCCGUUGAAAGUCUUUGGCUUCGCAUUUGAAAAUUCUUUGUAUGUGCAUUCCCUGAUAUGACCAUGGCUAGUGCCAUGAUUUAAGUGGUUGGUACUACUUCUAGUUCUUCCAGCGCCGUUAGUGUUUAUUUACGUAAGAGCAGCUACUACUGCUGCAGUGACAGUAGCCUGUACCAUGACGAGAUCAUAUUGUGGAGGUGGUUGCGGUGGCGUUGGUGUUGCGUUGUUGACGCGGCGUGCAGAUCUGCGAGGAGGCAUCUUACUGCCAAAGAAUUAACAAUGAAAGACAAUAAGUCUCUGAAUAUUUGAAAGUCGAGUGAUAAAAGGGUGGUUAUUUAGAAUUCUUCAUAUGUUAAUAUUCGACAUAAAAAUGAACUUGUGUUUGAUUCAUAAUAGUAGUUUAUAAAAUAACAGAUAAACCUAUGAAUUUGAGUGUUUCCCUCUCAAGGAUGGCUUGUAGCUCCCUCAUUUCUCUUAUUUAGGCGAGGGUUGCAUCCAUUUUGCCCUUUAGUGUCCUGGUGUGAACUCGAGUCUCAUCAUGUAGUUCGUCUAGGCGGCAUAUAUAUGUAGUGUUACUUUGUGCCGUUGCAUUGACUUCUCGAAUCCGGGUCAUUGAGAUCCUUGACUGGUCGAGGUUAAACUAUUUCAUUUACAAAAUACUCCUAUAGUAUUCUAAAUGUUAUGUUUGAUUCUAAAGAUUAUAUGUUUGGUAUGUUUUACAAUUGUCGUCCACUGCAACUAUUCCCUGACACAUGUUAGUCGGCUCUCGGAUAAAUAUAGUUGAUCAGGCUAUAUUCAUCCAAGUCCCAAUUACAUAUUCCAAGGCAUACGUGUAGUGCACAACUCAUCUAUAAUACUUCUAUAUUGUUUUCCUUAUGAUAUUGUUACUGUUAUGUAAUGUAUGCAUGUAUAUUUUUAAUAAAAGUAUAUUUUUUUAAAAGUAUAUCUCUUAAUCAUAGUGUUUUUGCCCAGUUGUGCUUAUAGUUAUAUAUUAAAAAUGGUUUCGAUAUACUUAGUUCACUAUAAAGAAUGCUCUGAUACCAAUCAAUCACACCCCAAACCUGAACGACGGAAACAUUCGGGGGCAGAGGACGUCAUGUACAGUAUCAUAAUAAUUGAAUAGUAAAGAUAGUACACACCACCAUCAUAUAUAUUUGAAAACAUCACAUGAUUGUUGUAUUACAUGUUUCAAAAGUCAAAUACAAUAUGAUGCUCCAAAAGAUGUUACUAACGCUAGAGCAUUAGUCCCUAAAAGUAGAUGCUAACCUGGUGUUUAGCGAUUCCCUGAGAAUACAAGUUAUUUCAAAGAAAAAGUGUCAACAAUUAAGUUGGUGAGUUCAUAAGUAGAUAUUUGUGUAAAUGCAUGCCAUUCGAAAGUUCAUGUUUGUUUUCCGGAAAAUCCGAUAUUUUCUUAUAAAAUGAGUUAUGAAUCGUUGUUUGUAUGAAAUGAAUGCAUUGAACCAGGAAAAACCUAUGUUUUCCAAAAAGUGAGAAUUAGUCUUAAAUGCCCAAGACUGUAACUUGUAAGUAAAUAUGUCAUACUUAAAAUGAUGAUGUAUAGUUUUAUUAGUAAAAAAAACUAUAGGAAGUUUGUAUUUUCACGUAAAAAUAACUAUAAUAUUACGUUUCCCGUAAACAUAAUACCAUAAUAAUUGACUAUCCUGUGAGUUAUCAUAACUGUGACAACCUGAAAUUUCCAUUCUGAACAAACCAUAUCAAACCAAUAGAAGUUAGAAUAGUUACAAUGAAAUUCUAGACUUUGGGCAUAAGUUUGACAGUUUUUCAGGAUUUACACUUAAGGAGAUAUCAGGAGAGUGGAUGCACUAGGGUUUUGUGCAACACUGUUAUUCCAAUACUCUAGGAUAUUAGAGUUCAUUCUAGGAAUAAAAAUAUUUUCUGCCAAAAAUCCCAGGACGAUAUAUAGAAAUUUGAACCAUAUUCAUUCAUUAGUUACAUUUCCAACUAGAGAAAAGCCGAAUUCUCUCUCGCGGAUCUUCGGGUUUUUAUCCCAAAUCGUGAGUACUUCUAUCUAGUUGUAUUAUAUAACUUAGAUCGUGUUUUAUAAGAUCAAAAUCAGAUCAAAACCCCAAGAUUCCGGAGUUUACUGCCCAAGAACACUUGGAGAGUAAACUCCUUUUUAAGGGCCAAAAGUGUGCCUAAUGUCCCUCAAAGCCUUGGAAAUCAAACUAGAAGCCACCAAUACAUGUUUAGACCACCAAAUCAAUUAGAAACAAAGGGUGAAAGUGAGUUCAUGGCCAAGGAAGUUCCUGGGCCGUGAACUCCAUUUUUAGGUGCCAAAACACCCUAAAAACCUUCCUUAAGCCAAGAGACUAAUUUAGACAUGUACCUAAAUGAGUUUAGGACUAGCAAACACCCUUAGAACACCAAGAGUAAGGUGUUCACGGCCUAAGAAGUUCUAGGGCUGUGAACUCCAUAAAAUAGUGCCAAAUGGUGCUAUAAACUCUCCUAAAGCCUUGGACAAUUUCCUUGCUUCAUUCUUAGUUAAUUUAGGGACUUGAAAACACCAUAAACAUGCUCCCAAGGGAGAUUACGGCCGUAAUAUCCAAGGGAUAUGGUCCCAGGGCCAUAAACUCCUAAAAGGAGUUAUAUUAUGCCCUAAACUCUUCCAUAGACCAAGCCAUUAACUAGAAAUGCUUAUUAGGGUCUUAUAGAGCAUCAAACAUCAAAUGGUAACCUAAGUAAGAGCUUACGUCCAUAAACUCAUGAGUUUACGACCGUAAACUCAUUUGCUAGUGUCAUUAAGGUCGUGAACUCCCUUAUGGAGUUUUCCUUGAGCCCUACACACAAUAGCUUCCUCUACANCUACAAACACUUAGAUGCAAUCCUAGAGGCUAAUAACACUUGAUAAAGGUGUUUAGCAUGUCCUAGGGUGUCUUGACUUGUUUAUUAGUUGUUUAUAGACUAAUUUGUUACAUAUAUGUGAAAUUAUAUGUUAACUAGGAUCAUAGAGUGUGUUCAAGACUUCACUUGACACCUAGCGGUCCUACCUCUUCGGUUCAUCCGUAUCACCCACAACAGGUGAGUUCAUACCCCUUAAUCAAUGUUUUAACUGUUUUUAAAUGUUUUAUGGGGGGGGAUACAAGUAGAAAUAUGCUAAUAAUUAUAUCAAUCACAUGUGAUUAAUAAGCAGCAUUCAAAUGAUUGGCUACUCAUUAGCCGUUUUACCAAAUAGUUUCCUUCAAAUGUUUUUCAUAAACACUUUAUGUGUUUAAAAGUCCUCACUACACUAUACCUUUUAUUCUGUAUGUUUCAAUUCAAACUUAUUUACAAUUGUGUUUCAAACAAAUGUUUCUGUAUACUAAACUAUUUUAUCAAACCCAUGCCUUCAAACUGUUUUAUAGAUUGACAUCAAGUCGAUCUUUUCUUAGAUGAUAAUUAUGUUCAAAGGUUUUACAAAACUUAUUUUAUUGCUUUUAUAUUAUAAAUUGCAUGCCUCUAUAUGUAUAGUUAUAUAAGAAAUGUUUAAAAGACUUAGGAAGGCAAUCCACCCUGUUUCCUUUUCCUCAAUUUGGAUGUGGUCUGGUGGAAUAUCGGGUACUCGUCCGAAGGGCGUUUAAAUAUUUGUUAUAUAUCAUGUGUACAUAUAUAGUCAUAAAGGUCCUUCUAGUUCAUCCAAUGCCCUUGGGUAGCAUGGGUAUACAUCCAGGUCCAUACGUACCAGUUAGAUUACUAGUAAACUACCUUAUGGGUAGUUUAGGAAGAUAGUAGAAUUAUUACUAGAACACGAUAUCAUACAAUGAGUCAGUUCAUUCAUGAGUCAAUACUUUCUAGAACAUUACAGUACGUUACUAUACAUGCUAGAUAGAGAGAGAACACACAUUACAGCUAGCACACAUUGAACAUUACAGUACAUUACUAUACUAUUACAUGAUGACACUUACAUGAGUAAAAUUACAUGAUCACACUUACAUGAGUACGCUUACAUAUACAUAGAACAGACGUCACUAGGUGCUAUAGCAUGGAACCAGUUCAGGAUCUAACUAUACUGAUGAAUCACAACGCAAUUGUGAUAGUUAUAUCGAGUAUACAUGAUCAUAGUAAUGUGGAUGCUCACGCCUUGGAUACAUGCAGGGGUCGUGAGUAGGUCCUAAAAUCCCUUUGAUAGGGGAGCGUAUAGUCUGGGAUCUAGACAUCACAUUAUACCUUAUCCCUCAAAUAAGGCAGUUGAGUACCGAUGUAGUUAUUUAUUACAAAUGCUACAAUACUUAGAAGAAUUACCCUAGACUGUAGGUAAUUGGUACGGUUGUAGUUCAACGCUACACCAUAGUACUAUUUCAUUUUCCCAUUACAUUCACUUCGUGAACAUUCACACGACGAAUGGUAAUGUAGAAAUUAUCUUUUUGAUCAAUGGUAGUCAGACUUGGGAAAAUACACACUCUUACAAGAGACACUAGAUGCCUUGGUAGAAGGAUACAUAUAGAUGAGUUAAGUCUUGGUAGAAGAAUCCCUUUUAUAAUAGGAGUCAUAGGGAUUUCUAGGGUUUUUCAAAUGUUAACAGCUGUUUUACAAACAUUUUCAUACUUACAGUUCAUAUACACUUUUAAUACUUACAAAUUCUUACUUACAAAUUCUUACAUACAAAUUCUUACAUACAAAUUAAGACACUAAAAUACUUAUGAUCUCACCAGCUUCAAAGCUGAUACUCGCUUUCAAAAUUACUUGUAUCCUCAGGUCAUCAUAGACAGGUUCCGAUGCAAGGUUUAGAGAAGAUGGAGCAUGUUCAAGAAUCAUCUUUCAUUUUGAUUUAUGCUUUAGUGUUUAUCAAAAUUUGACAGAAAACACUUAUAUAAUAAUUAUAUUAUUAAUGCAAUCGAUGAUGUUGGUGUUUGUUUACUAUUUUUCAUUGUUGUGAUACUGUACAUGACGUCCUCCGCCCCAGAACAUUUCCGCCGUUUUUGGUUUUGGGGUGUGAGAUUGGUAUCAGAGCAUUGUUUAUAGUGAAUUAAGUGUACCAACCCAUAAAAAAUAUACUUGUUGGGUUUUGAGCAUUCUAACACUCCUAAGUGUACAUGCAACUCUAAAUACCUUGGAUCUAUGUUUUCUCUAUUAUACAUGCAAAUAUGAACAUCCAAGGUAUUAUCUUAAUCUAGUAUACAAAACAAGGUGGGUAACAAGAUAGAAUACAUACCUCCUUGAUGUAGAAAGUCUUCAUGAAGCUUGAGUGCCUAGUGCCCCAAGUGUGACACCUCAAAUGGUUCACACAACACCAAAUACAAAUGGAAUGACUUGAGAGAACUCUACACUUCAUGAAAAUCGGCUAGCCCUUCUUACUCUCUAUAGUGGCCGAUUUUGGUCAAGAAUAAGAUGCUUAUAUAGUUAGGGUUACACCAUGUAAACCCUAAUUGACAUGGCCUUUCAUUUCCAUGAUCCAUGGGUACAAAUACACCAUGGAGCAUCCAUGGAGCAUCCUAUGGGUUUUAGCCCAACUUGAUUAUCCAUGGAGCAUUAGCCCACUAUACAAGUAUGGAUGAUUUACACAAUCAACCCAUAUAUUUAAUUAGUCUUCUUUUGAUCACUUAAUUAAUCCUAGAUUAAUUCUUGAUCAAUACUAAUUAAAUAAUCUUAUUAUUCUUAUUAUUAAUAUACUAGAACUUAUAAUAUAUUAAUAACCAUAAGUGUCUUAUUUCUCUCAUUAUAGUCUAUCCAAGUGCAUGAUGGUAUGCAACCCAAAUGGACCAUGCCGGGUCGGGUCAAGUCUUACCAAUUAUAGUUAUGGACUUAGACAUUAAUCCAACAGUCUCCCACUUGGAUAAGUCUAAAACUAUUAUUGCGUAUGACUUCAGGAACCAACUGGCAAUCGUAGCUCUCAAAAGCUUCUGUCGAACUCUGACCUUGUAGAUGAACUCUGACCUUUGUCAAUGACUUGUCCAUUAGAUAAGGGAUCAUAUAUUCCUCCAUUCUAGAUAUCAUAUGGACUGAGACAUGGAUUAUAAUCAUUCUCUCUGUCCAUUUGUUGUUUCCCGAUUUCCGAUUUAUGACGACUGACUAAUUGAACAAAUCAAAUCAGUCCUGGCCCGGCCGAGCACUUCCAUUUGUCAUCAUCAAAUCAUCGAGGGGCCCACAGAUAUCGCUUUUAUCCCGAAGGUAAAAGGAAUGGAUAAACUUCGACUCAUAUGGCUUGUUCUACUACUUGUUGAAUCAUACACAAAGGCACGUUUUAUAGCACCGAGUUACCAAAUGCGUUUUCGUGCAAUCAAUGUACUAUCAACUCAUAGUAACAACUCAUAUCUCUAGGUUUGAAGAAUAUAAGAUAUUAUCGUCUCAUGAUCACUCGUGAUAAAAUCCAUGAAGUGAUUCCAAUGAGCGCGGGUUGAAUCCAAUACUCAGAACUUAUGAGCACUCAUGAGUGUUGUAGCCCUUUGUCCAACACCUUAGACCUCUACAAGCCAACCCAUGACAGUCUUAAUUCAUAUCUACUUCCAACAUAUGACCGACUGUGGAUGGUUUGAAUAACUUAGUCAUUCCGGAAGAAUAACCUAGUUUAUUCGGGAAGUCAAAACAUGCAAAGUGAAACACAAUAAUAAUUGAAUCCAAUAUGGUAUCAAAACUUUGAACAUAAAUAAAACACCUUUUAUUUAUCACCAUAUGAUUACACAUUAUUCAUUGUAUACUGUUUCAGCUAUCAACUUUAUUCUUGAAUUUAAAACAAUAGUUGUCCCAUGCUCCAAGCAUGUACACUAUGUUUUCUUAAACACUAGUCAUGCCACACACCAAGUAUGCAUACUAUGUUUGUCUAUGAUCUUUACUUUGUGAACUAGAUCAAUUGAACAUAACUUCAAUGAUUCUCUUUUCACACUCCCAAAUCCUUACUGCAAAUGCAAGAAUUCCAAAUUCAUGCCAUUUACUGAAAUCUGUUAGAUUCUAAACUUAUAUGCAUUGAUCCUCUUGUAAUGAUUAUGCACAAAGUCAGAAAGACUUGACAACAAUCAUUACAGAGUAUUCCAAAGGAGAUCAGCUCCUUGGAAACAUCCUUCUUGCAUUAAGUUUCCUAAUCUUAAACAGAUUGAAAAUUCUAACUUUGAAACAUUUCCAGAUUCCAUUUUGACUAUCACUUCUGAACAAGAGUUGCCUCCUUACAGAUUAUGUCAAUAUGGUCCUUCCAGAAUUAUCACUAUACUUCCAACUGUCCUUGAGCAACCAAUCUUUGGUAAACCUUAGAUUGUCCUCGACAAUUGUUUAAUCCUUUUAGUCAUAUCCAGUUCUAAACCUUUUCCCUUCUUAAUGCCCCAGGCAUUUGGAAAAUUUUAGAACGGAUGAAUAUAGCACAUGUAAUCGAUCCUAUAUCCGAAGCAUAUGGGACACGAUUCAUGAUGUCUCACAUAAAGACUAAACCAGUCUUUUGCUAUAACAUUUCCAUUUCAAUUUGCCAAGUUCUCAUAAUUCAGAUUAUGAAAAGGGAUGCCGUAAUCAUAAUCGAAUUUUAGAACGCAAAUAAUGGACCCAUAUACAGAAUUUCCUUAUGUUGAGCCAUUCCAACAUGAAAUUCAUAUAUAUCCUUGACUAAAUGAUUAAAACCUCACGAUCUAAGCUUAUAGAUUUGAGAUGAAGUAUAAUUUCCUCUCCCUUAAUUAUAGCAAAACAACUUUUUCCCAAUUGAAACUUUUGUUUUCUAUAAUUAACAUUGCUAACUUGCAAUACUUAUCAUAAUUAUCAUGCUCCCACUAACAUGAUGAUUAUUAGCAUAACACUUAUGCUCCCACUAGCUUUGACAUGUACUCAGAAAUCAGCUGGACUUCUAGAAAUCAAUACUUCAUUGACUUUCUUACCAAAGUUCAGAUUUCUGAUACUAGAUUGUUUUGAUAAAACUUUAUCAAAAUCAUACACCUUCCCUUAGAUAGCACACUUGUGUAUCUAAACAAUUAUGAAGAGGGAUGCCGUAAUCAUAAUGUUUAGACCUUUUUGCCACUUCUCACAAGUCCAAGUUAGUGUGCCGGUUAACCACACGCGCUCCACUAACGACUUUGAGAAUGCAAAUAUCACAAUUGCUAUCUAGCUAAAAUCUACUUAGUGAAAGUGUUUCCUCACCAUCAUUUUCAUGAAUCGGAGAGAAACCUUAUGACACUUAGAUUUAAUGGUGUAUGUGUUCUUAUCCAUGUGAAUUGUCAAAAUCAUAGUCACAAGACAAGGAUAAUGACAAAUCCAAACUCAUAUGGACUGAACUCAAUCUUAAUUUCUUGCCACCUGGCAGCUCAAGGGCCUACCAUUGCUUCCAAGUUGUUGUGCAACAAAUUGAGAACUCUAAGAACUCAUAUGCAAAGCCAACUUUAACUGGAAUGGGCACAGAAUAUGUCAACACGAUAGGUUAUAAACCUCAAGUCGUGUGCUAGUGAAGAACUUCAGGUUUUAUUCUUGAUUAGUUCUUGAGACUUUCAAGACCUUUAAGACUCCCACUGUCCUCUUGACAUAUAAGACUCCCUUGUCAAACAUCCAAGAGAUAGUGCGGAUUCUAAUCAAGAAAAACACUUUACCCAAUUGGCCUAAGUUGGUCUUUGUUUUAUCCAAAACAUCACAACUUACCAAUUUCAAAUGUACAAGAGUAGAAAACUUUUACUCUUACAUUUGACAAGUGUUUUAAACCUUCUUUAAGAC
rnacentral:lncRNA from 1 species